rnacentral:lncRNA from 1 species
UCAACUAGCACUACACCACAGCCCCAGAGUAACGUCAGACAUGUGACGCUAAAAAUAACUAUUUAGGGACGUAAUGUUGGUCGGUAUAAAAUUGCCACAAAGCAUCGGACGGUAAACGUACUGGUAGCAUCCAAAUAUUUGUCGCUAUACAUGGCGUCUCAUGAUCGGUCGGUAUAGUUCAAUAAUAGCAUCGUUUUAUCGGUCGGUAUAGAUAAAAGAAAAAAAAACACCAUCGAGCGCGCCUAAAAUUUCGUUCUCGCGCGCGACCUGAAACCCUACUUGGCCAGAUUGUGCGUUCUAGAAAAACAAAAUACGCUUCUGCUGCCCACCAAACCCUCACUCCCAUCUCACCGUUUCAGAUUUUAGGCAGCCAGCAGCUAGCGCUCCUCCCAGGGAGCAGGCCGCCGCCGCACGUAGCCGCCGCCGCCGCACCUGGGGAGCAAGCCACUGCCGCCGCACACCUGGGGAGGUCGUCGCCGCCGCAUCUGGGGCGCAGGCAGCCGCCGCAUCUGGGGCCGACUCCCUUCUUCCCUUGCCGGUCGCCGCCGUCGAUUCCUUCCUAGGCCGCCGCCGCCGCCGAUUCCUUCGCAGGUCGCCGCCACCAACACCCUCGCAGGUCGCCGUCGUCGCAGGUCGCCGCCGCCGGCUCCCUCGCAGGUCGCCGCCGCCGAUUCCUUCGCAGGUCACCGCCGUCGACUCCCUCGCAGGUGGCCGCCACCAGGGCCCUUCGCGACAAGUUCGCUCCACCGCCGACGCAAAAACGCUGUAAGCCCGUAACCCUAGACCCUUCCACCACUUUGGCUGAUCUAUGCUCCAUCGACAGGCAGCGCCGCCGCCUGAACUCAUGUGUGUGCCGUUGCUGUUCUAGGUCCUUGCAUCACCAUUGCAGGUACUGGUAUACACUCGAUCUGCUUGGCAUCUGAGUGCUGAACCAUAAUUUCUUUGUCAAUGUCAUUUUGGCUUGUAUGUUUAUAAGGUCUAAAAGAAUGAUUAAUGGUUAAUGCAUAAUUGAUAAUAUAUAUUUGGGUCCUGAUCUAUGCGUUGGAUUAUUGGUUGGUAUAACUCCCAGUAGCCUUGCUGCAUUGGACGGUAUAACCACUAUAUGUCAUCAGCACAUUGGUCGGUACUUAUUCAACUUAUCAUCACACCAUCGGUCGCUAAAAAAAUGUCGGACGCUAUAGCCUAUACCGACGCCAGUUUCAGCGACAACAAAUAAGUGUCGCUAUAGAUCUAUAGCGACCAAUGGAGCGUCUUUACAUCCACAUAUAACGACCAAUCGUGCAUCGUUACUCUGGGGCUGUGGUGUAGUGUAGAGGGACCCUAACCCUAAUUAUGUAGAGAAUAUGAAGCACCAGGGUGUAGAAUGCCUCGAGGGAGGGGGUCUGUGUUGACGGUUGAUAACGUCAACUUUUAUUAGAACUUUGGACUCAGAGUAAAAUAUGAAAACACAUUAGUCUAGGGUUUAAAUUGACAAUUUCCAUGAGUUUUGCAUAUUCUGUGAUUUUCAGGGAUGAAGGGUCGAGAUGGCGGACUAGAGGGGGGGUGAAUAGUCCUUUCUAAAACUUAUCGCGCUGGCUAACCGAAACAAAUGCGGAAUUAAAACUAUCGGUCUAGCCAAGACUACACCCCUCUAUCUAAGUUCUCUAGCACCUUGUAAAAGAUCCUAAACAAACAAACAAGGUGCUACCUUAGCAAGAGCUCACCUAACCAAUUCUAGGAGCAAGGUCACACAAACCUAUGCCACUAGUACUUUGCAACCGGAAGAGCUCCUACACAAACUAGUGAGGCAAAGCGCACAAAGCCUAAGCUCACUAGCAAGCUCAAUAACAAGACAACUAAUGCUAAAUUAGAGAGCGCAACUUACUUAGCUACACAAACUAAGCAAUGUGACUAACAAGGUUACACAAACCAAAUUAGUCAUGCAAGGGAACUACUUCUAGCUACACAAGCAAGAAGGUAACUAGCAAGCUACACAAGCUAACUAAUUACAAGAGCAACUACACAAGCACAUGUAUAUGAAUGUAAACACAAGCUUGUGUUAGGGACUUGGAAACCAACGGGAAGAACAAUGUUGACACGAUGAUUUUCUCCCGAUGUUCACUUGGUUGCCACCAAGCUACGUCCCCGUUGAGACAAGCUCCAAGGUUGCCGCCGGUCCUCUUGCUAGUGGUGACCCGCAAGUCACACUCUCCCACGUGGAGUGCUUACCACAAGCUCUAGCACUUGACCCGGCCGGACCACUUGAUGCUCAGCUAACCGCCACGUGUCACUAGCCGUUUGAACUCGACCGUUGCCACCAACGGCUACUACGCACGUGUGCCUGCACAGCACCACCGGACGCUCUACUGCGUCACACCGGACCCGUGCGCAGAGAGCUCCACAAACUCGCAUUGUCACCGGACGCAAGCCACCGGCGCUACCUGAGCGUCCGGUGCUCACCGGUCAGAAACUCCUUCGCGCGCACUUGCUGACGUCACACACCACCGGACGCUCGAACAGUAACCGCCCAGCGUCCGGUGUGCUCUGCACACCUGAGCCACAGACAGCACACUAGACGCUCUGGACCAGUGUCCGGUGCUGCCAACACCAGCGCCUGGUGAGUGUUUCUCAGCGAGCCCGCAACUUCUCCAAAUUUCCCACCGGCGCAAUAGAAAAUAUGCACUUAAUUUUCUCAAAAGCGCCGAAUCCCGCCGAGCUUGCUCGGCGGGAGGGAGAGAGGAACCCACACCCCUCUCAACCCUAGGAACUCCACCACCUUUGUAAAUGUGCCAACACCACCAAGUGUACACCACCUAUGUGCAAGUGUGUUAGCAUUUCACAAACAUUUUCCCAAGGAGUUAGCCUCUCAAACUUACCACGCCACUCGAUCCUAACACGUAUGCAAAGUUAGAUCGCUCAAGUGGCACUAGAUGACCGAUAUGCAAACAAGUUUGCCCAUCUUGAUAGUACGGCCAUCUAUCCUAAAUCCGGUCAUAAACUUCUCUACACACCUAUGACCGGUGAAAUAGAAAUGCCCUAGGUUAUACCUUUGCCUUGCGCAUUCCAAUUCCAUCUCCUCCGAUGUUGAUGCAACAAAUGCACCAACCAAUCACCAAAUGAUAUGAUCCACUUCAUAUCAUCACGUGACCGUAUUGGUUCAUCGAUCUUGACCUCACUUGCUCUUCACCGUUGCCUCGGUCCAUCGGCACUAAGUCUUGCUCAAGCUUCGCCGUCACACGUGGUCCCUUGCUUCAAAGCCUCCGACUUGCCCUUCACUCUUGCAACCGGUCCAUCGAGCCAAGCCUCAUCUUGAUCUUCUCCACCUUGGUCACAUGACUCCAUGUCAUGUCUCAUAUGCACUGAGCUCCUCCAUCAUCACAUAAUCACCUAUGAACUAAUCUCCUGUGUAUCUCACAUAAACACUAUUAGUCCACCUAAGUUGUCACUCAAUUACCAAAACCAAACAAGGACCUUUCAAUCUCCCCCUUUUUGGUAAUUGAUGACAACUCUACAAAUAUAUCGAAAUUAAGCUUUCCAAGCUAGCACUUCACACAAGUGUAAAUUGCUAACUUGUAUUGGAUUUUAUGCUACUUAUCCAACAUUUAAGCUCUACGUCAAGAUUAGGAUAAGCACCAUAAAACCCUACUAAGUGCUAAGGUGUAUAGAAUAAACCUUUGUAGCUCGAUACCAAGUUUGGUAGCAUUUGAAGCAUUCAAUGUACACCAUCCUUAGCACCAUGAGUGGCUAGACAACAAAAAACACUAGAAACCCCGUGAGAUCAACAUUAAAAGCAAGGGUCUAGUCUUUACUUGAAGAACACAAGUCUAGCUACCAACUUAUGCAUGCUAGUUAUCAUAUCAUCAAUCAAGUUCUAUAACUAGCAUACACCACACAAGCAUGCAUAUUGAAUUUAAAACUUAUGCAAUGCAAGCAAGCACAUGAAUAUGCACAAAUCAAAUGCAAACAAACAAGGUUCAUGAGCUUGCUCCCCCUACUUGUGUGCUUCUCUUUUGUCCAAGAAUUUUGAUCCAUCAUCUUUUCUUUUAAUGUUGCUCCCUUGUCCAUGUCCAUCUUUGAUCUCUCCGCCUUGAAACAUAUCUUUUGUUGUCCAACUUAUCCCAUGAUCAUAUCUUUGUUCCAACUUCUCCCCCUUUGUCAUUAAUUUCCAUAAAAGGUAUGUGAUACCAAUUAAAUCACUUGAUAUCAAUUGAAAAAGUGUGAAUCUCAUUGUGACAAAGGAUUGCAUUGGGAUAGAUGGUUGAGGCUUGAAUCUUGCAUUUUUGAUGGACAUCACCAUAUGUGUUGGAAUGACAUUAUUUGAAUUGCUCUUAAGAUACCACAUAGGAUCUUUGACCUUGAUACCAUUUGGUGGGGCACUCCCCCUAUGUCAUAGCAUGGGUCAUUCACUUGUCAAUCUUGUUGGUGAGGGAACUUGCUUCGCUUGAUGAUCACUUAAAGUUGAGGAUCACUUGUGGAACCACCUUCUUGUAUGAUAGAUACCAUAUGUAUAAAUGUGAUAUCAUUUGAAAUAUCUUGUCCGAUACCAUAUGGGAUUCUUCUAUCAAUUGAGGUCUUCUAAUAUGGAACCACUUGUUUGCUAUCUUGAACAUUUUCUAUCAUCAUCAUGAGUACCAUUUGUAGGAUACCAAUUGAAGAAAUAUUUAAGUCUAGAUAUCCAUUUGCAUUGUUGUCUUGUUCUUGUACUCUAAUCAUCAUGAGCUUCUAAUUAUAGACUUGAACUAUGUUGAUUUGCCUAAGCUUCCAAGUCCGGUUUGAACCAAUGAUAAGCUUUUUCACACCUCACAUUAAGGGUUAUCUUGCCAAUGUUGUACUUGUCACUUGUUAGCAAUCCAAAAUAGAUCAAGUACUUGGGUUUACUAGCUCAUGAAUAAACUCAUAUACAUACCACUAGAUCAACUAAUCAUUCAAGCAAUAGUGGUAGGUUAUGAAUUUAAAACUUUUCAUUUGUUAUGCAUGAUCCUAUUGUGCAUGUACUAUAUGCACUAACCGCAUACUAGUAAGGGAUGAAAUGAUCAUGCACAUUACAAUGAUACCUUUGCUAUCUUGGAGUAGAGGAUAGUCAAUAAGAUUUCAAUUUAGCUCCAAAUAGCAAUGUGAAGUCCAAUUUAUAAGCUUGGUGAAGACCAAUUAUAAAUGCCAAUUGAUAGAUCAAACCUUCAUCCAUAUAAAAUGAAAACCACUUUAUGAUCAAGUGCACUAUCUUGUUGUGGUUGGCUUGCUUCUUCUUUUUACCAUUGCUUGCAUGAGAGAACUAACAAGAGUACCACUUGAAAUAGCAUGACUAGCUCUCUUUUGGGUUGUUGCUUGCUUUCUUGAUCAAUCCUUUUGAUUGCUUCAACUAAGCAUCUCAAAUGUCCUUUAGAUCAUCACUUCCAUGUUAGCCUUCCAAGCACCACACUUGGUUUACCCACUCCUCGGGCGGCACGCCCCUCACGUAGGGAGAAGUGACCUCUCUCCAAAGAACCAUUCUUGACACUUACUUGAAUUGCAUUUAUUGAUUGAUUCAAGUGAUGGACUUAAUGUGAUGAGUAACCAUGAAUCCUUCUUUAAGUCCUUUUCUUUCUACUUGUUUAAGUCCUUUUCUUUCUACCAAAUGAUUUCCAAUAGUUACUGGAACUUAAACUUUAUCUUCAUCUUGAGUUUGAUUUUGAUCUUCAAUUUGAGUACCAAAUGUGUACACCAAGUACAUUUCACAAUCAAAUGACCUUGUACUCAUUACUUGUCAUGGUUCAAGAUCAAUUCAAAACCACACUUAGGUGCCUCAAAUACUUAUAAUCAUGUUUCCAACUUGAGGGCCUUUCAAUUGAAGUGACUCUAGAUCAAUCCAAUAAUUGUCACUUUUCUGGCAGAUUCUGUACCCUUUAAAGAAAUAUCCAUAUAUCACAAUGUACAGAUCCAAAUACCACGAAAUUUGGUGGAGAUGUGAUUAACUAAGUCAUCUAGCAGCUGUAAGAAUUUGAGCUUCAUUUGACUUCUAGAUUGCUACCAGAUUCCAAUUCUUCCACCACUGCUACAUGCUGAAAACUACUGCACUAUAGCUGAUAAGAUCCACUCCAAAACCGAAGUAUCCCUUAUCCAAUUCUCAUGAAAUUUCUACAGCAUAUUCUAUCAUAAAUGUAAAGCAUGCACACCAAAUUUCAAGCCAUUCCAAAUAGAUUUGAUCACUCAAACGCAGACUUGAUCUCAGCAAGCUCAGAUUCUCAAUGUUGGACAGAUUUUAAGCAAUUGAGCUAUACUUCUCCAAAUUGAAUCAAACUUGAAAUAGACUUGUUUGAAUACUUUCACAAGACAUAAAUCCAUUCAAUCCACUUAUUAAAAGUCAUCUCAUGAACUUAUUCAACUCAAAUCAAUCCAAACUUGAUUACUAAUCAUUUUAUCCAUUCAAUCAUCUUAUAGCAAGCAACAUUGCAUAUAUACCCAAUUCAAUCAACUCAUAUGCACUCAAACGAAUGUGAUCAAUAAAGAUACAUGAUCAUCCAAUUUGCAAGCUUCAACUCAUAUAUUUGCAAACCAUCAAAUAAUCCAAUAAAUUACCAUAACUUGAAUAUUUGCACUUGUAUGUUAUAGCACUUGGACUUCACUUAUUUGACUUGGCAUUGGGAUAGGAUAAGCACUAAGCUUCAAUACUUGACUCAAUCAUAUGAUGAAUAAUAUAAGAUCAAUUGAAUCAAGCCUCCAAUGCUGAUGGCACCUACAAACAAUCAUCCACUUUUUGAUGGUACCCAAACUAGUUUGGGUCCUCUCAAGUUAGGUGCAACAUACUUAGGCAUAGCCUUAGUAUGAGUAGCGGGAUGUUUUGAAAUAGCAACCCUAGAGGUACCAUUACCAUCCUUUCUAAGCAUAGUAUUAUCAUCAAUUGAAAUGAGCUUAGGAUUAUUACCUAGGGGACAUGAAUGAGCCAUGUGUCCUCUUUCCCGGCAUAAGUAGCAACUUCGCUUUGAUUGAGCCUUUUCUUCCUUGCUCAUGUGUUGCUUCUCAUUGCCUUGCCUCUUGAGAGUUGCUUGAGCCUUCUUCUCAAGCUUGGAGGGACACUUCGAGGCAAAGUGUCCAUCAUUCUUGCACUCAAAGCACUUGAUGUGAGCAUAAGCUUUCUUCUUGUCUUCAUUCUUGCUCAUCAUCUUGGCAUCUUGGAUUUGCAUUUGAUGCCUUGCUCUUCCACCCCUUCUUGUUUUCUUCUUCUUCAUCAUCAAGUCACCAUGAUGGUUGAACUUGACUUGAGCUUGGGUCUUCUUUGCUUGCUCAACUUGGUGAAAUGACCCCAAGUGCGGCACUUGAAGCACUUGACAUGCUUUAGCCUCUCUUCUUCCUUUAUCUUCUUGAGCUUCUCAAUGUUUGGGCAACCAUUUGUAAGAUGUCCCAUUUCAUGGCACCGAUAGCACAUGAAAUGAGAGAGCUUCUCUCUUUCUUGUUUUCUUUUGCCCUUCUUCUUGAAGCCAAGGCCACACUUGUCACCAUAGUUUCUUUGAGUCUUCAAUAUGUUCUCAAAGGUGACUUUUGAGUAGUAGCACCUCUCCAACUUGUUGCUCAAAUUCUUCACUUGUUCAUUAAGCUCAUGGUUCUCCUUCAAAAGGUUAGUCUCACAAGACAUAGAAGUAGAACAAGCAUGUAUAUGUGAAGAACAUAGCAUAGAUAAUAAAUCAUCACAAGAGGUGGAUACAUGCUUCUUGCCUACAUCACAAGGGUUGGUAACACUAUGUGAUUGAUCAUUUGACCCAAGUGAUGAGCUCUCACUAAUUUCAAUUUCUUUAUUAGAAAGCUUCUUAGUGAGAAAAGCAUGAUCUUUUACCAAGUUGUCAUGAGCAACACAAAGUUCCUCAUGAACCAAUUUUAGCUCCUCAUGUGAACAAGUAGUAACAUAAAGUAGAUGCUUUUGUUGUUCACAUGUGUUCUUUAGAAAUGAGUUUUCAUUUUUCAAUUUAUUUGUUUUAGCCAUCUCAUUUCUUAAAGCUUUGGUGAGUCUACAUAUAAGCUCAAAAUUUGGAUCAUCACAAUCAACAAUCACACCUCCAAUAGAUACCUUGCCGUCACCGUGAGACAUGGAGGAAUGUGAUGAAGUGGAUGAGCUUGUAGAAGCAUCACUCUCAUAGCCAUCAUCUUCAUCCUCACUUGACCAUGAGGUGGAGCAAUCCUCCACAACCACCUUGUUGUGGUCAUGCUCAACAUCCUCAUGUAUGUCCACCUUUGGUUCCUCCUUUUUGAACUUGCCAUCAUCCCAUGUGGAGGAAUCACCGAAGGUGUGUUUGAUAGACUCCCACAUUUCAUAUGCGGUUCCUUUGGAGUUUAUCCUAUCAAACAACUCAAAGCUCAAAGAUUUCAUUAGAUAACAAUAAGCUUCACAAUCAAGUUCAAAGAGAACCUUUUGAGCUUUGGUGAGAUUCUUAUGGUCCAAGUUGUGUGUGAGACCAUUAGUGACAAUCCACCAAAAUUUAGGUCCCUUUGCACGAAAAUGAUCAACCAUGAGAUUUUUCCAAAGUGCAAAAUUUGUACCAUAAAAAAUGUGUGUCUCACAAUCAUCUAUCCCACUAGACGCCAUCCUCUCAGGUCAGUGAAGACCACAAAUAAGAGACCUAGCUCUGAUACAACUUGAAGGGUCAAGAUGGCGGACUAGAGGGGGGGUGAAUAGUCCUUUCUAAAACUUAUCGCGCUGGCUAACCGAAACAAAUGUGGAAUUAAAACUAUCGGUCUAGCCAAGACUACACCCCUCUAUCUAAGUUCUCUAGCACCUUGUAAAAGAUCCUAAACAAACUAACAAGGUGCUACCUUAGCAAGAGCUCACCUAACCAAUUCUAGGAGCAAGGUCACACAAACCUAUGCCACUAGUACUUUGCAAUCGGGAGAGCUCCUACACAAACUAGUGAGGCAAAGCGCACAAAGCCUAAGCUCACUAGCAAGCUCAAUAACAAGGCAACUAAUGCCAAAUUAGAGAGCGCAACUUACUUAGCUACACAAACUAAGCAAUGUGACUAACAAGGUUACACAAACCAAAUUAGUCACGCAAGGGAACUACUUCUAGCUACACAAGCAAGAAGGUAACUAGCAAGCUACACAAGCUAACUAACUACAAGAGCAACUACACAAGCACAUGUAUAUGAAUGUAAACACAAGCUUGUGUUAGGGACUUGCAAACCAACAGGAAGGACAAUGUCGACACGAUGAUUUUCUCCCGAGGUUCACUUGGUUGCCACCAAGCUACGUCCCCGUUGAGACAAGCUCCAAGGUUGCCGCCGGUCAUUUUGCUAAUGGUGACCCACAAGUCACACUCUCCCAUGUGGAGUGCUUACCACAAGCUCUAGCACUUGACCCGGCCGGACCACUUGUCGCUCUUCACGUCUCGCUCAACUAGAGUUGCUCUUCGCGAUCCCCGCCAAUCUCUUCUCCGGAGCACCGCACAAUCUUCUUGUGUGCUUCGACGGAGUCACAAGCCACCAAGCCGUCUAGGAGGUGGCAACCUCCAAGAGUAACAAGCACCACUGGCUUGCAACACAAACACCUAGUGCCACUCGAUGCAAUCUCUCAAUGCAACGCACUAGAAUCGCUCACUCACACAAUCGGAUGAUCACUAUCAAGCAUAUGUGAGUUAGAGGGUUUACUAGCACUCCCCAAGCAUAGACACUAAGUCCCAAGGGUGCUCAGCCCCAGCCAAGGCCGGCCACCACUUCUAUUUAUAGCCGCAAGGGCUAAACUAGCCGUUGCCCCUCCAUUGGGCAAAUGUCGUGGCCACCGGACGCUCACAGGGAGCCACCGGACGCUCAACCCCAGCGUCCGGUGCUCAGCUGACCGCCACGUGUCACUAGCCAUUUGAACUCGACCGUUGCCGCCAACGGCUACUAUGCACGUGCGCCUGCACAACACCAUCGGACGCUCUACUGCGUCACACCGGAUGCGUCCGGUGCACACCGGACCCGUGCGCAGAGAGCUCCGCAAACUCGCACUGUCACCGGACGCAAGCCACCAGCGCUCCCUGAGCGUCCGGUGCUCACCGGUCAGAAACUCCUUCACGCGCACUUGCUGACGUCACACACCACCGGACGCUCGAACAGUAACCGCCCAGCGUCCCGUGUGCUCUACACACCUGAGCCACAGACACCACACCAGACGCUCUGGACCAGCGUCCGGUGCUGCCAACUCCAGUGUCCGGUGAGUGUUUCUCAGCGAGCCCGCAACUUCUCCAAAUUUCCCACCGGCGCAAUAGAAAAUAUGCACAAACAUUUUCCCAAGGAGUUAGCCUCUCAAACUUACCAUGCCACUCGAUCCUAACACGUAUGCAAAGUUAGAUCGCUCAAGUGGCACUAGAUGACCGAUAUGCAAACAAGUUUGCCCUCUUGAUAGUAUGGCCAUCUAUCCUAAAUCCGGUCAUAAACUUCUCUACACACCUAUGACCGGUGAAAUGGAAAUGCCCUAGGUUAUACCUUUGCCUUGCGCAUUCCAAUUCCAUCUCCUCCGAUGUUGAUGCAACACAUGCACCAACCAAUCACCAAAUGAUAUGAUCCACUUCAUAUCAUCACGUGACCGUAUUGGUUCAUCGAUCUUGACCUCACUUGCUCUUCACCGUUGCCUUGGUCCAUUGGCACUAAGUCUUGCUCAAGCUUCGCCGUCACACGUGGUCCCUCGCUUCAAAGCCUCCGACUUGCCCUUCAAUCUUAUAACCGGUCCAUCGAGCCAAGCCUCAUCUUGAUCUUCUCCACCUUGGUCACAUGACUCCAUGUCAUGUCUCAUAUGCACUGAGCUCCUCCAUCAUCACAUAAUCACCUGUGGACUAAUCUCCUGUGUAUCUCACAUAAACACUAUUAGUCCACCUAAGUUGUCACUCAAUUACCAAAACCAAACAAGGACCUUUCAAUCUCCCCCUUUUUGGUAAUUGAUGACAACUCAAAGAUAUCGAAAUUAAGCUUUUUCAAGCUAGCACUUCACACAAGUGUAAAUUGCUAACUUGUAUUGGAUUUUAUGCUACUUAUCCAACUUUUAAGCUCUACGUCAAGAUUUGGAUAAGCACCAUAAAACCCUACUAAGUGCUAAGGUGUAUAGAAUAAACCUUUGUAGCUCGAUACCAAGUUCGGUAGGAUUUGAAGCAUUCAAUGUACACCAUCCUUAGCACCAUGAGUAGCUAGACAACAAAAAACACUAGAAACCCCGUGAGAUCAACAUUAAAAGCAAGGGUCUAGUCUUUACUUGAAGAACACAAGUCUAGCUACCAACUUAUGCAUGCUAGUUAUCAUAUCAUCAAUCAAGUUCUAUAACUAGCAUACACCACACAAGCAUGCAUAUUGAAUUUAAAACUUAUGAAAUGCAAGCAAGCACAUGAAUGUGCACAAAUCAAAUGCAAACAAACAAGGUUCAUGAGCUUGCUCCCCCUACUUGUGUGCUUCUCUUUUGUCCAAGAAUUUUGAUCCAUCAUCUUUUCUUUUAAUGUUGCUCCCUUGUCCAUGUCCAUCUUUGAUCUCUCCCCCUUGAAACAUAUCAUUUGUUGUCCAACUUAUCCCAUGAUCAUAUCUUUGUUCCAACUUCUCCCCCUUUGUCAUUAAUUUCCAUAAAAGGUAUGUGAUACCAAUUAAAUCACUUGAUAUCAAUUGAAAAAGUGUGAAUCUCAUUGUGACAAAGGAUUGCAUUGGGAUAGAUGGUUGAGGCUUGAAUCUUGCAUUUUUGAUGGACAUCACCAUAUGUGUUGGAAUGACACUAUUUGAAUUGCUCUUAAGAUACCACAUAGGAUCUUUGACCUUGAUACCAUUUGGUGGGGCACUCCCCCUAUGUCAUAGCAUGGGUCAUUCACUUGUCAAUCUUGUUGGUGAGGGAACUUGCUUCGCUUGAUGAUCACUUAAAGUUGAGGAUCACUUGUGGAACCACCUUCUUGUGGAACCACGCCACUUGAUCCUAACACGUAUGCAAAGUUAGAUCGCUCAAGUGGCACUAGAUGACCGAUAUGCAAACAAGUUUGCCCCUCUUGAUAGUACAGCCAUCUAUCCUAAAUCCGGUCAUAAACUUCUCUAUACACCUAUGAUCGAUGAAAUGGAAAUGCCCUAGGUUAUACCUUUGCCUUGCACAUUCCAUUCCAUCUCCUCCGAUGUUGAUGCAACACAUGCACCAACCAAUCACCAAAUGAUAUGAUCCACUUCAUAUCAUCACGUGACCGUAUUGGUUCAUCGAUCUUGAACUCACUUGCUCUUCACCGUUGCCUCGGUCCAUCAACACUAAGUCUUGCUCAAGCUUCGCCGUCACACGCGGUCCCUCACUUCAAAGCCUCCGACUUGCCCUUCACUCUUGCAACCGGUCCAUCGAGCCAAGCCUCAUCUUGAUCUUCUCCACCUUGGUCACAUGACUCCAUGUCAUGUCUCAUAUGCACUGAGCUCCUCCAUCAUCACAUAAUCACCUGUGGACUAAUCUCCUGUGUAUCUCACAUAAACACUAUUAGUCCACCUAAGUUGUCACUCAAUUACCAAAACCAAACAAGGUCCUUUCAAGGGAUUAUUUCAAAAAGAGCUCAAAAGAGGGAUUUAAGUGCCUAUUAACCACAAAACUUAUCCGCGACGGAAGGAGGACACUGAGGGAUCAGGAAUACUCCAGAAGACUCUCGGAGCAAGGGGACCGGCAUACACCACUAGGUGGGGCCGGCCGGCCCCACCCUGGCGCCGCCUGGCCCCCUGUGGCUAGGGUUUGGCCUCCCCUUCUAGAAGCUUCCUCCACCACCUCUAAGGAGUCAUCUCGGCCGCUUGUUAAGUCGGUUUGAUCCGAUGGCACGUGUGCAUCCCACCAGGCCUUAAAUAGAGGGGCAGACCCCCCUCCCAGAGAGACCCCAGAUUCAAUUCAUUCCUCCUGGUUCAUUUGUCAAGUGUAGCCAGAAGUUAGGGUUUCUAGAGAUUAGAAGUAGAGCUCUAGUUCUUCAAGUUCUUAGUUUAGGCAUCUAGCGAGGUUCAACUAGAGAUCGGGCGCUCCGCUCGGGAUUCUAGAUCUGUCUUCUAGAAAUUGGUAAUAUUAUCUUGUAUUUCAUUAUGACUUUGCUCUACUUCAAUAUAUUGCUAUUUGUUCAGUUCUUAGUUUAUUCUAGUUGCAUAUUCGAUAUAGAUGUGGUUUAUGAUUAUUAUUGUUAUAUGAUCGUAAAGCGCCUGAUUCAGUACUCGAGUGAGUCAGGUGGUGCACAUUAUGUAGACGUGGUGUCUAGAUAUAUUGUGUAGCUACGGAGGCACCUUAACGUGCGGGUCGUGUGGUAGUCCGCGUAGGUGACAGCUGCGUUGGUUCCUCUGUAGUCCACACCCUGUACGUAGGACUAGCCGAGCGCGGUCGCGAAGGAGGUGACGGUUGCAUCUUAAAACCCUCAUUAGUUGAUGCUCCUUAUGAUAUUUUCUAAGUUUAUCACACAAUAGAUGAAAAUGUGUAGCUUAGCGUAGGUUGUAGACUUUAUAUUAGUAAUUACAUAGGUUUCUUUUCUUUUAUUUGAAUAUCAGGAUUGUCUUGCUACAUUAGUGAGUCUUUAUUUUCUAUCUCUGGAAUACUAUUUACUUCAUUACUGUUGGGUAUUUUAAACGCAAACAGAAAAAUCCGCAAGCGCACGGAUAUCGAUGUAGCCUUCACCCGGGAAUAUUCUAGAGUAUCGAUUUUCCACAGGGAACAUGAGUGUACUAAUUAAGAUUCAAGAUCGCCUAAGGAUAACUAUAUAAUUAUUUUUGGUGGAAAGAGAGGAAGUUUGCUGAGAGUUCUCUAGUUGAUCUAAGAAUCAAGAAUUACUUCAAAGAUUAUUUAUUUCGGGACAUCAGAGCACUAACCACAGAAAGAGAUGAGAAGGGGGCUAGGAAGGUCUGACUACGGUCCUAGAAACACCGAUCUGAACGAGGUGGAAUACGUCGACCGUUAGGGCUAUCACUACCCUAGGGCUACCACAACAAUCCGCAGGAUUGGGUGCAAUUUCAGGUAAUUGCAAGACUAAACACCACGUCUAAUCUAUUAAUUACUACUCUAAUGUUGCAAAGAUUAGAGCACUUGAUGCAAGCAAGAAUCUAAUAAAUAACUUGAAAGUAAAUAAAGGUAAUUAAAGAACUCAGGAUUUUGAAUUGAAGAACCUGGAGAACGAUGAAGAACGAACCAGUUGCUGCAAAAGUACAAUGUUGAGGAAGAUCCGACAGAUCCGGCUCCUCCUCCUCCGCUCUCCUCUUCUCUCUCCCUAUUUUCUAGAUUACAACUAGAACUAACUAGAACUAGAACUAGAAGAACUAGAACUAGAACUAGAUAAACUAGAACUAGAACUAGAUGAACUAGAGGUAGAACUAGAAGAACUAGAGGGAUCCUCUCUACUUGGAUGAAGAAUUGAAACCCUAACUUUGAUUCUAUAGAAGAGGUAUGAUCUCCAGUUGGAUCAAACCGACAUUAAUCGCACGGUUUUCCUUGAUCCUUUAGGUCGGUGGAGCGUAAUCUGCGAAACGUGUCCUGAUUGGACUCUGGAAGUGGGCGGGCGCCCAGGAGAGUAGGGCGGGCGCCCUGUCCCUGAGCCCUCUCGGCUUCCCGUUCGUUCCCGUGGCUUCUGGGGUCUUCUAGAUGAUAGAAAAUUGCGCGGCACGUUAAUAUCUCUAUGUAAACCCGACGUGUGGGCCUUUCCUCCGUAUUUCCUGAUAACCCCCUGCAGAAAUAGACAAACACCAAAACUUGUGGAAUUCUGUCAGAUAAAACCCUAAGUCUAGGUGUUGGUUGCAUAUAAGUCCUUUUCCAUGAUUAGUUGAUGGUUAAAUGUGAGCAUUAAGGACCGUCAACAAUUACUCAGUUAUCAUUUAUCAUAUUAUUGAUUAGUUAUCGCUAAAGCAUUAGUACUAUUGGUUAUGACAGACUUACAUAAUUAUAAUUUCCUUAGUUUAUAUAAGAUCAAGCCUAAUGAAUAGAAUGCUGCUUUAUCCUUUUGGCAUAAAAUAAAUCGACAAUACUUGGAAUACUUCCUGGGUGAAAUGCUGCAACAGGAGAAUUAUCUGUGCGCUUGCGGAUAUAUUCUAUUUAGAGUUAUUGCGUGUAGAUUAUUUUUAUCCGUGGUUUUGGCAUCAUGUUAGGGAUGACAACUUAAUAUGAAGUGAUGCUAAAAAUACCAACAGUCUGCCCCUUUAUUUAUAGCCCGAUGGGAUCGACAUGCGCCGUAGGAUCAAACCGACUUAACCAAGGGCCGAGAUGUAUCAAGAGAGGCAGUGGAGGAAGCUUCUAGAAGGCAGCGGCCAGAAACCCUAGGGGGCGCUAGCCAGCGCCAGGGUGGGGCCGGCCGGCCCCACCUUGCCUCCUCUACGGGUCUCGUUCCUUCGGGUGUCUUCUAGAGCCUUCCUAACCCCGUUGGCGGUAUUGUUGUGUCGCGGUUAAGUUUCGUGUUUAUUUUGCACAUGAAUCCAUCUUUUCAGCUCCCUUUGAAAUAAACCCUAGAAAACACAGAAUAUGCAAAACUGGUGGAAAUUAUCAGUUUAAACCCUAGACUAGUGUGUUUUCAUGUUCUCCUUUGGGUCUAAAGUUCUAAUAAAAGUUGACAUUAUCGACCGUCAACAUCCAACUAAUAGGAUGCCACUCGUAAGUUUUGGCCGGGGCGCUCGGCAGUCGUGUCCAUAGCCAUGGCGCACCGAUCAACCGACAACUUAAUAUUCAUUACCCAAGUUAUUUCCUUACGCCUACCUAGAAAGUAACACCCUACUAGUGGAGGUCCUACUAAUUAGUCAAGCCAGAAUCAUAUAGCUUGGAGCUGCACUGUAUGUCCCAGGCGGCCGCUCCAUGACUAAGUCCUUACGGAGAGGAGAGACGAGUACACGUGGCAACCAGGCCAACCACCAGUACCCGCUCCCCCUAUCACCACCAUCAUCAUGAUGCUCGCAAGCAUCCAACAUCUCCAUCACCGCAGUGACCAAUGAUUCAGCACGUAUUAAGCAUCAAGUUAAGUAAAAAUAUUCUUUGUUUAAGCUUGUGUAUAAGGUGAGUAGAGUAGCUAAGCAUAACUACUAAACCCUAGUCUACCCAUAAUCAUAACCCCAGGUGCACAAGGAAUGAGAAGAAAUGCUAGUCAAGUCCUUAGGGUUUGCAUUUAUUGGACACAUGCAUGAGAAGUAAAUAAUAUUAAUGUAUAGGUUCAAAAUGAUCAAAUGGUGUCUACACUUGCCUUGAUCGAAUUGGAGUUGCUCAAACUCAGUGGGAUCUUGUUCCUCUUCCUUCAUGAACAAUCAUCACACAUAGAGGCAAUACAUACAAGCAAACAAACUUUAAUUAGGAAAAAUACAAAAAUACAAUUGAAAACAGAAAACAAUUGAAUAACAGUAAUCUACACGUCGAUAUGAAACUAUAGGAAUAAGAACUACCUAAAUCAGAGUUAAAAUGUGAAAGUAAUGGCUAAAACAAGUUGAGUGGCAAUUCUACAAUUUAAAUGAACUAAUUUCGUAUUUUAAAUAAUUAAAAACUCAAUGAAAAAGCAUUUUGGAUUAAAUCUAUAAGUUUUGAUGGCUUCAGGGGCUAUUCUGCAAAAACUAGGGCUUAAAUCUAAUUACUUUUGAACUACUUGGGACUGUGGGUUUAUUUUUGAAAAACGUAGGGACUUUUCUGCAAAAUAGCCAGGAGCGGCGCGGGGGUGGCUGGCUGACCGGCCCCGUGGCGGCGUGUGAGAGGUGGGUCCAUGGACCGCUUGUCGACCAAGACUGUGGGCACUGCACCACCGGUCCAUGGUGGACCGGGGGGCCAGGCGAACGACUGCGUGUGGCGGGGCUGAGGCUGCGGCGGUGGCGCCAUGGCUGGCUCCGGUGAGCUUGCCGCGACGGCGCUACGCGGCACGAGCGGGUCGCGCGGAGCGCGGCGAGUGUGAUGCGUGCGACGACAGCAGCGGGGAAGGGCCGGCGUGCGCGGGCCAUGCAGCGGGGGUGGCUCGGCGGCGGCGAGCAUCUCCGACGAGUCCAUGGGAUGCGCAGAGAGGGAGAGGGCACGCACGGAUAGCACCGGUGCGUUUGUCAUGCACUCGCGGGUCUAGGGGUAUGCUCACCUUCAUGGAUGCAGCGGCGGGAAGGCGAGAUCGACGGCGGCCGACGAAAACCUCGGUGGAAUCGUGCUUGAGCUAGGGUUUCGCGGUGAGUAGGGUGGCGGUUGGGGUUCUAGGGGGUGUUUCGGGCGGCGUCGGGGUCCUAUUUAAAGGAGAGGGUGGCCGGGGAUCUUUGGUUUGCGUGCGGCGUGAAAAUCAGGGCGGUGGCGCUCUCCCCGUCUGAUUCAGACGGAGGUAGGAGAUGACCCCCUAGUGGGUGGGACCCACUCGUGGGCCCCACGGGUCUGCGGGAUAGAGGGGGGAGAAGGGCGUGCGCGUGGUAGGACCGAACUGGGUCGUGGCCCACGCGGGCAGCGUGCACGUGCGGGGGUUGGGCCGAGAGUGAGCGCGGGGCUGGCCCAGAGAGGAAACCUUUUCUUUUUAUUUUUUUUUCUAUUUUCUUUCUUACUUAAAAAAUUAAGUCAGGCAAAUUUGGAAUUAAAUAAAAUCAAACAAUUCAAGCAAAAUAAAAUGUCGCAGCAUGAAUGCAUCAAACAAGUUUUCUAUCUUAUAUUUAAUUUUAAUUAUUUUUAUAAAUUAUUUAAUAAAUGUCUAAAAUGCCAAACUCUACGAAAUUUAAUUUAAAUUCAAUUUAAAAUUUGGAGUUAAAAAUUCGGAGUGUUAUAACACGUUUUUAAGGGCUCUAUUGGUGGAGCCAUUGAAAGCCCAAGUUUGGGUUUGGUAAUUAAUGACACCAAGUUGCUAAUGCCUUGUGUUUGUGAUUUGAGUUAGACAUAGCAACACAUAUGAUAAAGGUGCAAGAUGGCAAGGAAAGGUAGCCAUAUUACAAAGGGAUGAAGCAUGAAUUGGAGAUCAUUGUGAUAGACAAGGAGUAGAGUGAUCAAGGCAAAGGUAUAAAUAUAGGGUUUUACUUUUGCCGGUUGUUGACGAUCCUUAAUGCUCACAUUUAACCGUCAACUAAUCAUAGAAAAGGAUUCAAAUGCAACCAACACCCAGACUAAGGGUUUUAUCUGACAGAAUUCCACGAGUUUUGGUGUUUGUCUAUUUCUGCAGGGGGGUCAUCAGGAAAUAUGGAGGAAAGGCCCACACGUCGGGUUUACAUAGAGAUAUUAACAUGUGCGGUAAUUUUCUAUCAUCUAGAAGACUCCAGAAGCCACGGGAACGAAGCGGAGGCAGAACGCGGCCUGGCCCAGGGCGCCCGCCCUCCUGUAGUGCCCAAUCAGGGUCAACUUCGCGGAUCAUGCUCCACCGACCUAAGGGAUCAAGGAAAACCGUGCGAUUAAUGUCGGUUUCAUCCGACGGCCCACAUUCAUUUGGAAGGACUAUAUAAGCAGACCCCCUGGCCCCUGGAGAACAUACCUCUUCUACAGAAUCAAAGCUAGGGUUUCAAUUAUUCAUCCAAGUAGAGAGGAUCUCUCUAGUUCAUCUAGUUCUAGUUCUUGUUAGUUCUAGUUGUAAUCUAGAAAAUAGGGAGAGAGAAGAGGAGAGUGGAGUAGGAGCCGGAUCUGUCGGAUCUUCCUCAACAUUGUACUUUUGCAGCAACUGAUUCAUUCUUCAUCGUUCUCCAAGUUCUUCAAUUCAUAAUUCCUGAGUUCUUUAAUUACUUUUAUUUACAUUCAAGUUAUUUAUUGGAUUCCCGCUUGCAUCAAGUGCUCUAGUCUUUGCAACGCUAGAGUAGUAAUUAAUAGAUUAGACGUGGUGUUUAGUCUUGCAAUUACCUGGAAUUGCACCCAAUCCUGCGGAUUGUUGUGGUAGCCCUAGGGUAGUGACAGCCCUAACGGUCGACGUAUUCCACCUUGUUCGGAUCGGUGUUUGUAGGACCGUAGUCAGAGCUUCCUAGCCCCCUUCUCAUCUCUUUCUAUGGUUAGUGUUCUGAUGUCCCGAAAUAAAUAAUCUUUGAAGUAAUUCUUGAUUCUUAGAUCAGCUAGAGAACUCUCAGGAAACUUCCUCUCUUCCCACCAAAAAUAAUUAUAUAGUUAGCCUUGGGCGAUCUUGAAUCUUAAUUAGUACACUCACGUUCCCUGUGGAAAAUCGAUACUCUGGAAUACUCCCGGGUGAAAGCUACAUCGGUAUCCAUGCGCUUGCGGAUUUUUCUGUUUGCGUUUAAAGUACACAACAAGCUUUCUGGCGCUGUUGCCGGGGAACGGUAGUUGUGCUAGUUUCGAACCAAGUCAUCCGUGUAUCCUUUUUAUUUUCCUUUUUUACCACACUCACCUUACCAUUUUCACCAUACCACAUGGAUUUCACUCCUAUCUAUAAAUUCUUUGCUCCAAAGGGCGAGUUAUUAGAGCCACCACCAUCAUCACAUCCAAUCCUUACAGAUGGCUACGACCUCAGCCCUGAUCUAAUAGCCAUGAUUCUGGAGCAACCCUUCUCUGGGCAAGUAGAUGAAGAUCCAUACACCCACCUUAGAGAAUUCGAGCAGUUCUGCUCUUGCCGAUCUAUUUCUGGCAUGACACAUGAAACCCUUAAAUGGAAAUUAUUUCUGUUCUCCCUUUUGGGAAGAGCAAAAAAAUGGUAUGCUCAUUCUGUAGGAGGCGUUAAUGGAAAUUGGGAUGAACUUCGGGACAACUUUUGUCUCGCUUUCUUCCCACUUUUUCGAAUCGCUGACCUUAGAAUCGAAAUUCUUACAUUUAGACAAAGAGAGAAGGAAACUUUAGCAACAGCUUGGGCUAGGUCCAUAAGCCUUACCAAUUCUGGUCCAAACCUUUCCCUGCCUGACCAUGUACUGUACUACCACUUUUAUCGUGGUCUAAACAAGGAAGCUGCUCUUCACCUCGACAUUGCUUCAGGAGGCUCAUUCACACACAAACUCACAGAUGAGCGGAGAGCUAUCCUAGAGAGAAUCCUUGAAAAUACCCCUUACAUAGGCAUUUAUGAUGAGUUUCUUGAAGAAGAAAAAGAAGUCGAGCCUGAUCCUAAACCAAAAUAUGAGGAACUUGCAAGCGAGUUAGAAAUUCCACCUGACCCAUUGUUGACACUAGCUAACACCACUUAGAUACUAGGUUGUCAUCCCUAGCAUGGCGCCAGAGUGUACAAAGGUAUUUAUAAAUGUAAAGGCUCUUUAGAAAAUAAUCUAUUCUAUCCGCAAGCGCACAGAUAAAACACCUCAUUGUAGCAUUUCACCAGGAUAAGUAUUCCAGGUAUCGUUAUUUAUAAUUUUGCUCUAGGGAUCUAAAGAAGAUGGAAUUAAAUCAAAGGGGCAAAAUCUAUCAAGGCAUAGACUAGAGAUAAACUUGCAAGAACAUGAUUACUAAUGAGAAACUCGUCACACAGUCACUUACUUUAGCAGGGGGAAAACCAUAAAGAUAAUGAUAAUAAAGUAUAAGUUCAUGGGUAGAUAACACAGCGAUUAGAAAAUAGACUACUACUCAUAUACGUAGGUGAUGUCGGAUUAGCUAGAGAAUGGAUUCUAAGUUAUCUACUAACUACUAAGUCAUAAUCUACUCUAGUUAUCUACAAGAUCAUAUAUAGCAUAAAAGACUCUUCAUUCAUGUAUAAGGAACAUUGAUAAAGUAAAUCAGAACAUCGCAUGACUUACUCCACAAUACCGGUUCUGCCUGUCCUAUCAAUGGAGGGUGGACUAUAUAAGAAUCAACGAAGCUGUCACUAUCGCGAACUACCACACGACUCGGCCAAUAGGAUACAUUUGCAGAUAAAUAACAUCUAAGCACCACGCUCACAUGUGAUCUAUCACCUAACUCCCUCGCGUCAAGAGCUAAGCGCUUUGCAAACUUAUACAUAAACUCAUUAUCAAUCAUAACUAUAUCAAAUAUAGAACUAGAGCAAACUAAGAACAUAAUAAUUAGAGACAUAAUGCAAUUAGAACAAUAGAAUUAGAGAAAGAUAUGAAUAAUACCAAUCUUUAUUACCGAAGAUCCGAAUCCAGAGCGUAGUGCUCUACUUCUCUAAUUGCUAUCUAAUCAACCUCUAAACUUGAAGGAUUAGGGAGUAGCUAAUUCUAAUUCUCUGUGGGAGAGAGAUCUAAACCCUAACUUUGAUGGCUACCUCUGAAUAAUGAUUUCUCCUCUCUCCUCCAGGGGCCAGGGGGUCUGGUUUUAUAGUCCCCUCAAGUGAACGUGAGCCAUUGGAUCAAACCGACAUAGAUUGUAUGGUUUAGAUUGAUCCUUUAGGUCGGUGGAGAGUUGUCCCGAGAGAGAGUCCUGAUCCAACUCCUACCCUGGGCGGGCGCCCAGCCCCCGAGCCCGAAUCGCGUCCCGUUCGUUCCCGUGGUUUCUGGAUCCUUCUAGAUUGAGGAAAAUUGCGCGGCACGUAAUUAUCUCGUUGUAAACAUGACAUGUGGGCCUUCUCUCCCUAUUUUCUGAUAAACCCCUGCAGAAAUAGAUAAACACCAAAACUCGUGGAAUUCUGUCAGAUAAAACCCUAAUUCUAGAUGUUUGUUUCAUAUUGAUCCUUUUCUAUGUUUAUUUGAUUAUUAAUUUUAGUACUUAAGGACCGUCAACAAACUCCCCCAAGCUUACCCUUUGCUCGUCCCUGAGCAAAUAGCUAAACUUAGACGGAUCAGGAGUUGCUUCGAUGUUUUCUUUCCUGACAGGCACACAUGCUUUUACAUAAAAAUCCUUCCAGAUUAGAGUGAAGUGUUAUGAAGUUUAGUACCUGCACUUAAAUCUUAAGUAAUCAAAAUACAAAAUAGUUAAGUCAAGCACUAUCCCUCUUGUCUAUACUUCACCUUUGUUCUAGAGUUUUUCAUAAGUUUUCAAAAUAAAACUCAGAGUUCCCAGCAAUGAUUCUCUCAAGUCUCUCUAUAUGUGGUAUUUGUGGAUCCUUACCAUAAUGUCACUUACCUAUAGCUAAUAGAAUAAUUAAGUGGAGCUCAUAGGAGUGGAAAAUAGCUCAUACAUAUGUUGUCUAAUCGAGCCAUGGAUCCAAAGGAACUCAGCAUAUAAUUAAAUCAAGAUGUGCAUGUGUGAUGGAGUAAAUGAUAAUGAUGGUGAAAAUGCAAUAGUGUUAAUAAAUCUUAGUUCUCAUUGCUCCUCAUAUUGCUAUCUCUCCUCUUCUUUGAUCUUUGCUUUGGGAGAACAUGGGCUAUCUUUUCUUUCUUUUUCUCUUUUUUUUCAGGUGGGUAGUGGAUACCUCUAAUUCUACUGUCGGACACUUGUCCAUUUUUUCCGCUCAAGUGGGCAUCUUUGUACCCCUAAUUCUACUUCAGACACUUGUCCAUUUUUACCUCUCGUCUCACUCUUUUUCUUUCUUUUUCGAGGUUCCCGGGCACUUGCCCCUUUUUAUUUCCUCGUAUAUAUUUUUGCAUAACCCAUGCUUCUUCUGCAUUGAAUCUUUUUAGAGAGAGAAAAUAACAAUACUUGGGACAGUGAGUGAUAAUAUUUUUAGCAAUUUUAAUGAAUGGUGGUGGAUGCUGUGGUAGAUGUGCAAGUGAAUAUCUUAAUUUAACCACAUGAAAAGCUCCUAAGGGUCGACACAGCUCGAUCAAACUCAAUGUAAAUAAAAGAUGUUAUAGCAAGUAUGGCUGUGGUAGGUAGUUUUGUAUGCUAGGAACUCAUCAUGUGAUUUGUAAGUUUUCAAAAAUAAAUCUCUAGAACUUAGUGUAGUAGGAACAAGAUAAACAGCAGCUCAACUUUAUAUCAUGCCUUUCUCUUACCUAGACUUUAGUUUUAUGCUUCCCAAAGAUAGUGAGUUUAGUUUUAGUAAUUCCUGGAAGAACUCUAAUAUAAAAGCUAGGUACUUGUAAGUAAGCAAACAGAGCAACUAUUCAUCAUUUCCAUCAUGCAUAUUUUUGGUCUUUAUUUUUUUUUAGAGAUUAAACUUAGCAGAAAAAUAAAACACACUUAUCUACACACUCUUUUUAUUUUGUUUUCAUGUUUAUUAAAGUGCAGUGAAUUAAAGCAAGAAAAUAUUUAUUUGGUUUUCUAAGUUUUUCCUUUUAAGAUAAAUUAAAUACUAAGACAGAAUAGAAUAAAUAAGAAGAGCAAAUAAAAACUCACUUGAUAAAUUUAGGGAGGAACUCCCCCAAGCUGGAUGUUGCCGUCGGUCUUACCCGAUGUUCCAGAACCGCAUCAUGGUUGUGAUGUUGUCGUUCAUUGUUGUUGUAUCUUGUCUCAGCUCUUGUACUGCAGCGGCAUGGUCCUGGUUCCAUUUUUGUUGCUCUUCCAGGAGUCUUCCAUGUUCUGCUUGCGUGUUCUGAAUGUCGAGGAGGGUGUUGUCGGUACGAGUGAAGAAAGCACCGGCCUCUUGGUAGUAGUCAUUCGUAAAAGCGUAGGAGGCGUCGGAGUAUCGUCCUGCAUCAAAUUGGGGUGGAGGUCUGGAUCCUGAAGCUCCAUAUGGAUCAGUGGAGUACCUGCCCGUAUGAAAAGGCGGGUUUGUCCACUAGUGAUCUUGGCUCUCCGGCCAUGUCUCCUCUGUUGGCUCUUGUGGUUGCGCAUGUCGAGCCCAUGGGUCUCGAAGGACUCGUGGAUUGUAAUCGCAAUAAUGCAGGUGCGCUGCUUCUUCUGGUCCAGGGUCAGCUCCAUACCAAGUGCGUUCUCGGUGAGUGGUUAUCCUUUCAGAUGCCACUCGCUGUGGAGUUCUCUGGUUCACUGGUGUUGCUGCAAUCUCAAUCAAAAAGUUUUGCACAGCGUAGAGGCCAAGGUUCGGGUUAGGUAACCGAAUCUUGCCUUUAUCAUCAUAUAGCAUAUACAUUAUAUUCCCCUCUUUCUUUAACAUCCGAGCUUGUCUACAUGUGUCAUAGCCAUGAUAAAUUCUUAAAUCUUCUAUGAAGUCCAAUGAUGAGUUUUCUAGUAAGUGAAGAUUAGUGGCUAGACGAGUGAUAAGUGAAGUACAUCCUACUGGUCCCUGAAGACUAGGUAUACUAAGCCAAUGUGAAACUAAUAGUGUAACAGGUGAAGUGGGUACUUUACUAAUAGCAGCAUAUAAAAGUUGUAAAUCUCCUACUCUUACUUUCCUAAUAUCAUUGCGAUAGAAAAGAUUGUACCCAAGCUAUUUGUGAAACAUCCUGAGAGUGGGGUGUUCCAUGUCACUGGUUCGGGCUUGACUGUAAAAAUUAUCUCUAGAUAUUUCUCUCCAAAACUGGUGUCUCUCAAAAUUGGGUAAAUCGGAGUCAAUGUUCAGGAUGCAUCUUGAAGAGAAACCAAGAUGGUCGCUCAGCUCUCUCCAAGAUAACAUAAUUUCCUGUUUAAACAUCCGAAAAACAAUUCCCCCCUCAUAGUAUUGUAAAGUGCAAAGAAAUUCGAGGGUGAGAAGACGAGAACCCAGCUCAGUUAUAUUCCAAAAAUUUGUCCAACCCAUCAUUUGAAAAAUUAAGUCAAAUUCAGUGUCCAUACCUAUUUCUUGUAGUAGGGUUGGAUCGAGAGUAGGGGUAUGAAUGAAAUCUUUAUUCUUCAAUUGCUGAUAGACUUCCUUCUCUCUUCGGGUCUUUAGUCCAAGGUCUCCUAUCUUGAGAAGAACCUUAACUUGCUGACCUGAUGAAGAUGAUGGAGCUUGUGUGGGUGUCGGGUCGACGCUCAUCUCUGAUGGCUGUGAGGAGUGUCGGGAUGAACUCCUUGUACCAAUGUUCUUGAGAGCCUUCCCUGCAUUCUUCACUUUCUUAAACAUCCUGCAAACAAAAGUUGGCAAAAACACAACUGGUGGAAAAUGUGAGAUAAAAUGUUAGUGGUCAGCUGUCCAGAGUGUCAGUAGUCCAGGGGUUAAUCGUUCAAGACAAGUUUCUAUUUUGGUAGAGCCUCCCCCUAAACAACUUUUACUUCCGCUUGGACAGUGGGAUCACUAUUUGCUAGGUGACAAUCACUUUCUCAAAAGAACUCCAACCUUCCCUUCCACUCUCCUCUUUCUCUCUACUCUCUUCUCUUCACUACAAGAACUCCUUCUCGGGAAACUGAGAUUUGUGUGGUUUUCUGAAGUGUUUGUGUGAAGAGAAAGGGAGCUGAAGGUGGGCUUUUAUAGGCUGAGCAGGGGACAGGGCGGGCGCCCACUUGUGGUGUCCAUCCUGGGUGUGCCUCCUCCACUUGCUUCCUUGCUUUGAUCUCACGCAGAAUAAUGUUGUGUUGGUGGUGGUUGGACGGUGGAAAGAUGUCAGGUGAGUGGAAACAUAUUGGUGGAUGAAAUUAUGUGAUGGGAUAUAUGUGAGGUGAAGUGUAUGACAUGUGGGACCCAAAGAGUGUGGGUCAUGCUUCUAGAAGAUUAAUAUGAUUAAAUAUAGUGCAGGAAAAUCUAUGAGAAUUGAAACUUAUUGAAAAUGAUACUGGAAAAUAUUUUUGUGCCUCCAUAAUAAUUAAUAAUAUGGGUUGUUACACACCACGAUUAUUAUUUAUAUGGGGUUUUUUGAUUAUUAUAAUUAUGCUAUGACUAAUGCAAGAAUUAAUUAUGCAAGAAUUUAAAUAUGAGAAAAAUAAUAAUGCGGAUAAAUACCGAUUUACCUUCCGGUGAGGGUUUGGGAUUUUUAGGUCCCCCAAGCUGGACCUCCAAAUCUUUUAAUCUUCUGAGUUUCCUUCCUCCGGAGAUGGUGUCUCCAGUGGUUCUUCAUGAACUUCCUUCACUGUAGAGUCUCUCUCUGGUCUGGGUUUGAAUGUGAAGUGUUCUUCUUGACCGUUUAUGUUGAACUUGAUUUCUCCUUUUCCGACAUCAAUGUGGGCAUUGGCAGUGCUCAGAAAUGGCCUUCCAAGGAUGAUGGAUACUUUUGAGUCAGGACUCAUGUCCAGUACUACGAAGUCUACUGGCACCAGGAAAUCUCUGAUCUUGACUGGAAUGUUCUCGGCGAUGCCCAACGGGUGUCAAACCGAUUGAUCCGCUAGUUGUAGGCACAUUGAUGUUGGUUCUAAGGUUGCAUGCUUAAGCUUUUUGUAGACUGAUGCUGGCAUCACACUGACACUUGCUCCGAGAUCACAAAGUGCAUUGUUGAAGUGUUGGUUUCCGAUCGAGCAGUCAAUAGUGGGGCAUCCUGGAUCUUCCUUCUUCUUUGGUGGCUUAUUGAGGAUGGCCGCACUACAUUCUUCUGUCAGCUUGAUAACCUCAGUGGUGGGCAGUGGUCUCUUCUUGUUAAGAAUAUCUCUGAUGUACUUUGCAUAUGUAGGUACCUGUAUGGCAUCGAGCAGAGGUAUGUUGACAUAUAAUUUUUGAAUGACCUCUACAAACUUACCAAACUGCUCAUCCGACUGCAGUCCUCUGUUUCUUCUGGGAAAUGGCAAAUAGUUGGUGUCGUAAAAAUCUUUCCUCAUUUCUCCAGUUCUUGGUGGUUGGAGCAGAUCUUCUGCUUCAACUGGGCUUUCUUCUUCUAUCACUGCUGGUUGCACUAGUGCUGAUGUUCUUUGUUUCUCUUUUGGGUAUGGUGGAUCUCUGGUGGCUUUGCCUCCUCUAGUAGUUAUAUUCUUUACCUGCUCAAGGUUAGUAGCAACAGGCAGUGCAGCAGCUAUCUUUAUUAAUUUAAGCUCUACCCUUUUAUUAAGAGUGUUUUGCUCAUCAAAGGCAGUUAGUAGAAAAUCCAUUUUAUUGUGUAUAUCUUUUAGAGAUGAUUCAUUUGUAUCUAGCCUUUGUUUAACUUCAUCAUUAAUUUUGGUUUGUUGAGCAAUUAUCUCUUUUAAUGAAAGUUGCUUGACAGUAUUACCUGAAUUCAUACCUUUGCUAUUGGGUCGACUCGAAGUUGGUUGAUAUUUGUAUGCUGUCUCAAUGGCCCUUUGAUCUUCUUUGAACUUGGCCCUCUGGUCAAUCCAAUGGAGCAAAUUUUCCAUCUUAGUUGAUAAUGCAUUUACUUCUUCUGGUAUUUCUUCAGUUUGAUGACAUUGUUGAGCUUUAUCUUGGAACCAGCUUUGGUUUUCUGCUAUCUUAUCCAAAAGUAUCUCUGCUUUUCCAGUUGUAAGCUCCAAGAAUGAUCCUUUAGCAGAUGCAUCUAGGCACUCACGAGCCUUCUGGGUUAAUCCAUGGUAGAAGGUCUGCAUAAGUAACCAUGUAGCCAUUCCAUGGUGAGGACAAUCUGAUAUGUAUCCUUGAAAACGCUCCCAUGCUUCUGAAAUGGCUUCUGUCUUCUGCUGUUGAAAACUGACAAUAUUUCCUCUUAAGGCAGUUGUUUUGCCUAUAGGGAAAAACUUUGAUAGAAAGGCAUCUGACAAGUUCGUCCAGUUGUUGAUGUUAUCUUGAUGAGUGUAGAACCACUUCCUUGCUUUUCCUUCUAGUGAGAAUGGAAAAAGGCGAAGCAGUAUGACGUCUUUGUCAACUCCGUUGAUGUGAAUUGUGCUUCCAAUCUCUAAGAAAUUCUGCAAGUGUGCACUGGCAUCUUCAUGUGCCUUUCCACUGAAUUGUGUAGCUUGUACCAGAUUGAUGAGGCUUGACUUGAGCUCAAACUCAGGUAUUCCUUCUUCUACUGCAAAUCUUAGACCAGUUGGAAUGUUCUCAAGGCUUGGAGCAGAGAAUUCUUGCAAGGUCUUGUGUGCCAUAGCUUCAGCAAUUGGUAGCUAGCUUCUUCUUCUCUUGAUUGCUUUGGUUCUGAUGAUGAAGAGUUGAAUGUACCCAAAGUCAAUCCUGUUAUACCCUGUAUAAAAACAUAAACAUAGAAAAACAACCGGGUGAACCUGCCAAAGCAGCGGUGCCUUGUUAUGAUUUCUCACUUAGUAGCUGUUUUAUGCAAUUAUUUCUCUAUAGUCUAGUCUAAUAUUUUAUAUGAAUAACCUUGAUUGAUUUUCUGGCUUUCCUUAAUAUUACCCUUUUGUUCCCUUUAAUGACUUAUUCCUGAGGCUCAUAUAAUUCCUAUAAUUCCCCGGCAACGGCGCCAGAAAUGCUUGUUGACACUAGCUAACACCACUUAGAUACUAGGUUGUCAUCCCUAGCAUGGCGCCAGAGUGUACAAAGGUAUUUAUAAAUGUAAAGGCUCUUUAGAAAAUAAUCUAUUCUAUCCGCAAGCGCACAGAUAAAACACCUCAUUGUAGCAUUUCACCAGGAUAAGUAUUCCAGGUAUCGUUAUUUAUAAUUUUGCUCUAGGGAUCUAAAGAAGAUGGAAUUAAAUCAAAGGGGCAAAAUCUGUCAAGGCAUAGACUAGAGAUAAACUUGCAAGAACAUGAUUACUAAUGAGAAACUCGUCACACAGUCACUUACUUUAGCAGGGGGUAAACCAUAAAGAUAAUGAUAAUAAAGUAUAAGUUCAUGGGUAGAUAACAUAGCGACUAGAAAAUAGACUACUCCUCAUAUAUGUAGGUGAUGUCGGAUUAGCUAGAGAAUGGAUUCUAAGUUAUCUACUAACUACUAAGUCAUAAUCUACUCUAGUUAUCUACAAGAUCAUAUAUAGCAUAAAAGACUCUUCAUUCAUGUAUAAGGAACAUUGAUAAAGUAAAUCAGAACAUCGCAUGACUUACUCGACAAUACCGGUUCUGCCUGUCCUAUCAACGGAGGGUGGACUAUAUAAGAAUCAACGAAGCUGUCACUAUCGCGAACUACCACAUGACUCGGCCAAUAGGAUACAUUUGCAGAUAAAUAACAUCUAAGCACCACGCUCACAUGUGAUCUAUCACCUAACUCCCUUGCGUCGAGAGCUAAGCGCUUUGCAAACUUAUACAUAAACUCAUUAUCAAUCAUAACUAUAUCAAAUAUAGAACUAGAGCAAACUAAGAACAUAAUAAUUAGAGACAUAAUGCAAUUAGAACAAUAGAAUUAGAGAAAGAUAUGAAUAAUACCAAUCUUUAUUACCGAAGAUCCGAAUCCAGAGCGUAGUGCUCUACUUCUCUAAUUGCUAUCUAAUCAACCUCUAAACUUGAAGGAUUAGGGAGUAGCUAAUUCUAAUUCUCUGUGGGAGAGAGAUCUAAACCCUAACUUUGAUGGCUACCUCUGAAUAAUGAUUUCUCCUCUCUCCUCCAGGGGCCAGGGGGUCUGGUUUUAUAGUCCCCUCAAGUGAACGUGAGCCAUUGGAUCAAACCGACAUAGAUUGUAUGGUUUAGAUUGAUCCUUUAGGUCGGUGGAGAGUUGUCCCGAGAGAGAGUCCUGAUCCAACUCCUACCCUGGGCGGGCGCCCAGCCCCCGAGCCCGAAUCGCGUCCCGUUCGUUCUCGUGGCUUCUGGAUCCUUCUAGAUUGAGGAAAAUUGCGCGGCACGUAAUUAUCUCGUUGUAAACAUGACAUGUGGGCCUUCUCUCCCUAUUUUUGUAAUACCCGAUUUUAAGGACAAAACCAGAUAUGCACCAUAUGUGAGUUUUAAAAGCCAAAUCUCACAUAUAGCUACAAAUAAGGGGUAAUAUCAAAAUACAAUGCAUAAAUUAUAUAACGUACUUAGUAUGAAAGAGAUAACCUUUAAAAGCAAACAGCGAAUAAAUAACUCCAACUUCGGGUAUUAACUCCACUCUACAGGAUCCAACUGACUGGUUGAUCACAAGCCUAACACUCCUCCUGAAGUAUGGGGGAAAUAGCAAGAGUGAGUCCAUGUCGAACUCCACAAGUAUAGCAACUAGAUUGUAUAGCUCCCACAAUCUCAUGAUCAAUGUGACAUAAAUAAUGUAGAGCAUUAAACAAUAAAUAAUGAGUAUUUUAACACACAGGAAUCAUCACCCUUAAUGUAGAUGUCCCCAAGGCCGCUCCUGACCGUGAGCUCGGCUAGUAUACUAGUUUUAACACUCUGCAGAGGUUGUACAUCUUUACCCAUGAGUCAUGAUUUACCCUUUCGCCCGAGGUGAUCAGCCUCUUAACCCCCUUCCUAGGGAGGUCGGCAGGGAUCACUAUGAAGCCUUUCAAAAGUUCGUCUAACAUGUUAGGGCCGCAAGGUUUCCUUCGCGAGCAGAUAUAGAUACCCCCCUUCCGAAUGGCACAAUGACGCGCAGCCUAUACACAUAGGGACAGGGGCUCGCACUAUACCCGUGUCGGUUCAGCCCCUCUAGCGCCCUUUCGGGUAACCUCUAACAAGCUAGAAAAGGUCUUCAUACUGAGCUAAAGCCAGAGCCAUUAUAGCCCUCAUGGUUGCACUGUUGUCCCGGGUGAUCACGUACAGACAAAUCAUCAAGUUGCUAAAAAGUCAUUUUUAUCGUUUAUUACUUAACAUUAAUCUAGUCACAGGAUCAUGGUCAUAGAAAUAAAAUCCAAAUGCUAUACUUGCCUUAAACACUUGAUCAAUUCUCAAACCAUCAGCUUCCAGUCGUCAUCUUCUGAUCUUCAGCGCCCACAAACGGUUCUCGUCUACUCAUAGCAAGCACCACGCACAGACAGACAUACAAGCAACAAAUAAAAACAACUAAGAACAAUACACCACACAAGAGAAAAGAGCAUACUAAAAGAGAAUUAGUGCUAGAAGAUCGCAAGAAGCACCAUAACCGAGCCUAUCGCUAAAGGAAAUGAUUAAGGGUAGUUUUAUAUUAUAAAAGAGAAGCUCACAUAUUUGAUCUAUUUAAGUAAACAAAAUACUGAUUAAUAUUAAUAUAUUUAUUUUCAAAAGUCAAGUUAAAAUUAAUCAUAUUUUAUUCAUAAAUAUUUAAUUAGAUAUCAUUUAUGCUAAUUCAACACUAACUUGUAAAUAAAAAUUGACAUACGAGAGUAGGAGUUUAACAUGCGUAUUUAAUUUAGACUAGACAAAUUAUAGCUUAGGUACAUGAUUAUGUUAGCAAUUAAUCAUGUUAACAUUUAUAUAUAAAAUACAUAAGCAUAAAAUCUAUAUUGAUUUUAAUUAUAAACUAGAUGCAAGUAUAUUAAUCAAUUUAGUAUUUAACUAUACGUAGAAAACUAUGUGACAACUAAAUUAAAGCACCUUGUGUUUUAAGGUUGAACUAAGCAUUUUAUAAUUCAAAAGACAUCAGGGUCAAUAUUAGUUAAAUUAACAAUAAUUUAUGAAGGACCGAAAUAUAAACCUAUUAUGCUUUUAAUUAGAUAUACAAUUGCAUGAGCAUAAACUAAAUUAAUAUUAACUUACACCGCUAUCACGUAGUUUCGGUCGACACGAUUGCAUGCGACGAGAACCAAUUUAUAACCCUAGGUUAAUUUUUAAUUAGAAAGCUAUUUAAUAAGUAAUAAACAAAUUGUAUUCAAAUAAAUAAAUUCAAAAGGAAGUUAUGUAACAAAUAUUUAUUCUAUUAUGUAGAGGGCGAUGACAUGAAUCUAGCACAAUUUAAACGAAUCAAAUCAGAGUUAGGAUGAGUAAACUGCAAAAAUUACGAACGGGUGGCAAAUCUGUAAAUACCUCGUCUUCAUCUUUUGGUCACGUUCGUGAACGCAGCCAUGGCCGGCUGUUGCUGCGUCUAAACAAGGGCUCGUGCGAGGGGGUGCAGGGCCUCUGCUGGCCGUCUGGUGGUGCUGGCAGCACCGCGGGCGGCACAAGGCCUGCAAAGUCAGGAGUAGAUCAGCUGGACACCCAGAGCAGGGGCCGAGCAGCCACCGGCGGCGGCGCUGUUCCAUCAGCACGAAGGGGCAGGGGCUCCGAGGCGGCCGCGGGGUUAAGCGCAUGGUGCAGCAAAGCCGUAGGGGUGCGUUGUCUCGACCGUGGCUGCUGUAGAAGGCCAGCAUCAGCACCAAAGCAUGGCGGUCAAGCUCAGAUCGAUCGACCGGCGGCGGCAGCUAGGGCUUGGGUGAUGCUGUAAGCUCGGAUGAGACGUCUACGUUAGGGUUUGGGAAUAAGGGCAGCGCGUCACCUGGGCUACCAUAUAUAGGGUCGUAGACGUUUGGAGUGGGGCACUCUGAAUCACGGGAAAAAUCAGGAGCUGGGCGACGGGAUUUCGUCUCAGCUGAGUCCGGCUCGAUCACGUCUAGAGGAAAGCGAUGACACGGUUUGCGUGUCGUAGCAGUGGAUCAAGGUGCCGCCGUGAUAGAGAGAAAAGAGGGUGCUGCGCUGGGCUCGAGAGCAGGCUGCGGGAGGAAAAAGCAGGCCAUGCCUACUGGUCGUGAAAGAGAAGGGAGUUUUCUCAUUUAUUUUAUUUUCUUUUCUUUAUUUCAAAACCUAUUUCAAAUCCAUUUUAAAAAAAACGGUUUGAAAAUAUUUGUGCACUUUGGUCAAAUCACUCAGCACAAUAAAUUCUCCUGCAUGACUGCACAAACAAGUUGCUAAGCUCUAUAUGAUAAAUUUUAUUUUAAUGAAAAAAAAUAUUAUUUUCCUGUAUUCUCAUGAGCACAAAAAUAAUAAAUUAAAUUAAACUUUCAUCUAUUUUAAAAGGAGCAAAUUUUUGGGUGUCACAAUUUUUUGAUAAACCCCUGCAGAAAUAGAUAAACACCAAAACUCGUGGAAUUCUGUCAGAUAAAACCCUAAUUCUAGAUGUUUGUUUCAUAUUGAUCCUUUUCUAUGUUUAUUUGAUUAUUAAUUUUAGUACUUAAGGACCGUCAACACCCAUCCAUUAAUUUGGUUGUAGAGAAACCUCCUGAUAAGGGUAUGCAAAACCAACUAAGGGAUGAUGAACCACCACCUUUAGAGCAUCCCUUUGAAUUCGAGGAAGAUCUUUUUGAAGAUUAUGGAAACACCUCAAAUUUUCCUAUCCAAACACGACCUCUAGCAAGGACCACUCAAUCUGUUCUAAGAGUAGAAUCUGUUGACAUAGAACACAUCAAAAGCCUUUCGGCUAUUCUGAGUUAUGAAUGGCUAACAGAAGUUGAGCUGUCUCCUGAGGUAGCUCGAAUCAUCACUCUUUCAACCAUUCUUCUGUGCCAAAUUAGAGGGUCCGCUAGGAAGGUCCACUACAAUCCAUAUGUUAGGAUAGAUGUUAUUUCCAAGCAGUUAGCUUACACUCUUUAUCCCAACGAGUCCAUAACCCCAUCUCAAAAACUUUUACAAAGUCCAUCUGGAUUAAUUCUAGAAAGCCAUGGGGUAUUAAGGGCAGUUCCUGUUAGAAUCAAGGACUCUGGAAUAUGUCUGGAUUUUCACAUCUUUGACAUACCAGAGAUUCCUCUCUUGAUUGGCAGACCAAUCAUGAAACUUCUACAAGAACAACCAUAACGAGGUCAUUUAGACUUCAAGGUUGGGAAUUUCACUAUUGUUGUUCCUCUUGCUAGAUCAAUUAACACGAUAGUGGAACCCAAACUUGAACCAGAUCCUAUUGAGGAGAUCUUAAUGCUGACUCAAGAGGAGAUGGCCCAACCAUUCUUUAAUCAUGAACACUUUGUUCAAGAAGAAGAAGAGUUGAUAGAACCUGUUGAGCUAGACAAAAAUGAACAACCUUCACCUCCUUCGAUAGAAUUAAAACCUCUUCCUUCUGGCCUUAUAUAUGUCUUUUUGCACAACAACCCAAAAACUCCAGUAAUUAUCAGUGGCAAGCUUUCUGAUUAUGAAACACAACAACUUCUCACUGUUCUUGAAAGACAUAGAUCAGCAUUUGGCUACUCUCGAAGAUCUCACGGGCAUUAGUCCCAUUCUCUGUACUCAUCGUAUCCCUAUUGAUCCCAAUUUUAUACCUUCAAGGGAACCACAACGGAGACAUAACAAUGCUAUGUGAGAGGUUGUUAAGAAAAAGGUCCUCAAACUCUAUAAUGCUGGGAUUAUUUAUCCUGUGCCACAUAGUGAGUGGGUUAGCCCUGUUCAAGUAGUGCCAAAGAAAGGAGGAAUGACGGUCGUUAGGAAUGAGAAGAAUGAACUCAUCCCUCAACAAAUUGUCACUAGGUGGCUUACGUGUAUUGACUAUCGAAAACUCAACAAGGCUACAAAGAAAGAUCACUUUUCGUUACCCUUCAUUGAUGAAAUGUUGGAACGGCUUGCAAACCACUCUUUCUUUUGUUUCCUUGAUGGUUAUUCUGGAUAUCACCAAAUCCCAAUCCACCUAGAUGACCAAGGAAAGACUACCUUUACAUGCCCGUAUGGAACUUAUGCAUACCGACGAAUGUCGUUCGGAUUGUGCAAUGCUCCAGCUUCUUUCCAACGGUGCAUGAUGUCUAUUUUCUCGGACAUGAUUGAGAAGAUCAUGGAGGUUUUCAUGGAUGAUUUUACCGUCUAUGGCAAAACCUUCGAUCAUUGUUUAGAGAAUUUAGAUAGAGUCUUGCAGCGAUGUGAAGAAAAGCACUUAAUCCUGAACUGGGAGAAAUGCCAUUUUACGGUUCAGGAAGGAAUAGUGCUAGGACAUAAAGUGUCCGAACGUGGUAUAGAGGUGGAUAAAGCAAAGAUUGAAGUUAUUGAAAAACUUCCACCUCCCAUGAAUGUGAAAGGAAUCCGUAGCUUUUUGGGACAUGCAGGGUUCUAUAGAUGCUUUAUCAAGAACUUCUCUCAAAUUGCUAGACCCCUAACUAGUCUCCUAGCUAAGGAUGCACCUUUCAUCUUUAGUGAUGAUUGUCAUGAAUCUUUUCAAACUCUUAAGAAAGCACUCAUCUCAGCCCCGACUAUCCAACCACCUGAUUGGAAUCUUCCUUUUGAGAUCAUGUGUGAUUCUAGUGAUUUUGCGGUUGGUGCCGUUUUAGGACAAACCAAGGAUAAAAAGCAUUAUGCCAUAUCCUACGCUAGCAAAACCUUGUCUAGACCACAGCUCAGUUACACUACAACUAAAAAAGAGCUUUUGGUUGUUGUCUUUGUUAUAGACAAGUUUAGAUCUUACUUAGUGGGGGCAAAGAUAAUCAUCUAUUCAUACCAUGCUGCUCUCAAGUACCUCCUCACUAAGAAAGAUGCGAAGCCUCGUCUAAUUCGAUGGAUUCUUCUACUCUAAGACUUUGACAUAGAAAUCCGAGAUAGGAAGGGAGUAGAGAAUUCCGUAGCUGACCACUUGUCUAGGCUUCAAUAUAAGGAAACACAUGAUGAGCUUCCCAUAAAUGACUACCUAAGGGAUGACACCCUGCUUAAGAUAACACAUGCAGAUCCAUGGUACGCAGACAUCGUAAACUUUAUAGUAAAAGGCUAUGUCCCACCUGGUACAAACAAAAGGAAGUUGCUUCACGAUAGUCGUUUCCAUCUUUGGGAUGAGCCAUAUCUUUUCCGAGUCUGCACUGAUGGACUCUUGAGAAGGUGUGUUCCUAUGGCUGAGGCUACUCAAAUUAUGGAAAGAUGCCAUGCCUCGCCAUAUGGAGGACACUAUGGAGCAUUCCGGACACAUGCUAAAAUUUGGCAAAGUAGUUUUUUCUAGCCAACGAUGUAUGAAGAUACAAAGGACUUUGUUAGGAGAUGCCACCGAUGUCAAAAACAUGGGAAUAUCAACUCACGAAAUGAAAUGCCUCUCACAAAUAAUCUUCAAGUAGAACUUUUCGAUGUAUGGGGCAUUGAUUUCAGUGGGCCAUUCCCUAUGUCUGGGAAUUGUGAGUAUAUCUUAGUAGCUGUGGACUACGUGUCCAAAUGGGUAGAAGCCCUACCUUGUCGAUCAGUUGAUUCAAAACAUGCCAAGAGAAUGUUCCAUGAAGUAAUCUUUCCUCGCUUUGGUAUACCCCGGAUAGUUAUAAGCGAUGGAGGUUCCCACUUCAUCGAUAAAAUCUUCCGGAAGUACCUAGCCAAUCAUGGAGUUCGACACAACGUCGCAACACCAUACCAUCCUCAGACUAGCGGUCAAGCUGAAACAUCUAACAAAUAAAUCAAAAAUAUUUUACAAAAGACCGUAGAUGAGAUGGGUAAGGGGUGGAAGGACAAACUUCCUGAUGCACUUUGGGCAUAUAGAACUGCAUUCAAAACACCCAUAGGCAUGUCACCUUAUCAACUUGUAUACGGAAAAACUUGUCAUUUGCCUGUGGAAGUAGAGUUUAAGGCUCAUUGGGCACUCAAGAAAUGGAACAUGGAUCUCCACCUCGCUAGCGAGAAUCGUCUGAUGCAACUAUCUGAGCUAGAAGAAUGGAGAGAGAAAGCCUACCACAAUUCAAGGAUCUAUAUAGAGAGAACAAAACGAUGGCAUGAUAAAAGAAUCAAGCACAAGGAGUUUAAGCCUGGAGAUAAGGUUCUACUAUUCAAUUCAAGAGUUAAGCUCUUUGGGUAUGGUAAGCUACGAAGUAAGUGGGAUGGACCAUACAAGGUUAUUGACACUUCAACUCAUGGAGCCAUUACCAUCCAAGACGACAUAGGUAACACUUUUAAGGUAAAUGGUCAACGCUUGAAAAUCUAUCUCGAGCCACAAAACAACCUGGUAGAGGAACUUGAUGUGAUUGAGUUCAUAGAAUUCUCACAUUAAGCUCUCAUAAGCUCUAGACAAUUACCUAACCCUUAACAUGCUCCACGAGUUUUGUUGUCUAUUUGGGUUAUGCAGGAUUUUGAGGCUUAAGAAGAGUGAGACCGAACAUGCAGGCCACAAGAGUGAAUGACUAUGUCAACAUCCAGCUUGGGGGAGGCACCCCCACGUGUAUCUAGAUAAGUAUUACUUUUCUUUCUUGGUUUUAUUUACUAGCAUUCGGAAAUAAAUAAAUAAGUAAACAAAAAAAUGCAUAACCAUAAAACCAAACAAAGUUUUUAUUUUGAAGUAAUAUACAAUAGUUUUGUGUAAUCCUAAGUUUUAAAUAAAAUAAAAAGAAAGUUUGAUCCAAGUCUAGGUAAUUGACAAACAUGAUAUGAGAAGGUCUGAGCUUUUAACUUGUUCCAAGUUUUGCUAGAGUUCUGGAGAUUUUAUCUUUUGAAAAUCUAAAAAUUAAAAAAAAAGAUCCUCUUUGACAUAAUACCUAGAGUCUUAUAAGAUAUAAAAAUUAAAACUAUGGGCACUUGCUUUGUUCAAGCUAUUGUUAAUUCUUGUAGUUUUGGUUCAGAGAAUUAUCAUGCUCCAAAGAUCAAGAUCUUUUUGUUUUAAAAAUAUAAAAGAUUCACUCUUCCGAAGUAUUAUUGCGUUAGAGGCAUGGGACUAUGCAAAAAUUUGAUUCGAAAAAAAAGAGUGAGACAAGAGGUAAAAAUGGACAAGUGUCCGAAGUAGAAUUAGGGGUACAAAGAUACCCACCUAAGUGAAAAAAAUGGACACGUGUCCGAUAGUAGAAUUAGGGGUACUUGGUGCCCACUUGAGAAGAAAAAAAAAGAGAGAGAGAGACUGAAAAAAAGAAAGAAAAAAAAAUGAUAGCCCAUGGUCCCUCUAAUAAGCAAUAUGCCAGUAAGAGAUGACAAACUUUUCAUAAAGGUCAAAGGUCUUGAUCUAGGAGUAUGACAUUCCUCUCCCUUGCUCCGAGCAUUGACAUAGCAAAAUGCAAAGUAAGUAUGCUAAAAUUUUUAAAGCUCUACUUAUAUAUAAAUCUUUCGAGAAGAAGGCAAAUGUCUCAGUUUUAUUUUGGAAACUUACAAAAAAACUCCAGAACAAAGGUAAGAUAGAAGAACUUGAGACAUAGUGCUUGAUUUGAUCGUUCUGUUUUUCAAUCACUUAAGACCUUAGUAAUAACUUAAAAACCUUAUAGUAAGAGGCAUAAAAGUAACCCCUGUUUUCUUGCUGAUUUUAGCUUUGCUCAAGGACGAGCAAAGGUUAAGCUUGGGAGAGCUUGUUGACGAUCCUUAAUGCUCACAUUUAACCAUCAACUAAUCAUGGAAAAGGAUUCAAAUGCAACCAACACCCAGACUAAGGGUUUUAUCUGACAGAAUUCCACGAGUUUUGGUGUUUGUCUAUUUCUACAGGGGGUUAUCAGGAAAUACGGAGGAAAGGCCCACACGUCAGGUUUACAUAGAGAUAUUAACGUGUGCGGCAAUUUUCUAUCAUCUAGAAGACUCCAGAAGCCACGAGAACGAAGCAGAGGCAGAACGGGGCCUAGCCCAGGGCGCCCGCCCUAGGGACCAGGGCGCCCACCCUCCUGUAGUGCCCAAUCAGGGUCAACUUCGCGGAUCAUGCUCCACCGACCUAAGGGAUCAAGGAAAACCGUGCGAUUAAAGUCGGUUUGAUCCGACGGCCCACAUUCAUUUGGAAGGACUAUAUAAGCAGACCCCCUGGCCCCUGGAGAACAUACCUCUUCUACAGAAUCAAAGCAAGGGUUUCAAUUAUUCAUCCAAGUAGAGAGGAUCCCUCUAGUUCAUCUAGUUCUAGUUCUAGUUCUAGUUAGUUCUAGUUGUAAUCUAGAAAAUAGGGAGAGAGAAGAGGAGAGCGGAGGAGGAGCCAGAUCUGUCGGAUCUUCCUCAACAUUGUACUUUUGCAGCAACUGGUUCGUUCUUCAUCGUUCUCCAAGUUCUUCAAUUCAUAAUUCCUAAGUUCUUUAAUUACUUUUAUUUACAUUCAAGUUAUUUAUUGGAUUCCCGCUUGCAUCAAGUGCUCUAGUCUUUGCAACGCUAGAGUAGUAAUUAAUAGAUUAGACGUGGUGUUUAGUCUUGCAAUUACGUGAAAUUGCACCCAAUCCUGCGGAUUGUUGUGGUAGACCUAGGGUAGUGACAGCCCUAACGGUCGACGUAUUCCACCUCGUUCGGAUCGGUGUUCGUAGGACCGUAGUCAGAGCUUCCUAGCCCCCUUCUCAUCUCUUUCUAUGGUUAGUGUUCUGAUGUCUCGAAAUAAAUAAUCUUUGAAGUAAUUCUUGAUUCUUAGAUCAGCUAGAGAACUCUCAGAAAACUUCCUCUCUUCCCACUAAAAAUAAUUAUAUAGUUAUCCUUGGGCGAUCUUGAAUCUUAAUUAGUACACUCACGUUCCCUGUGGAAAAUCGAUACUCUGGAAUACUCCCGGGUGAAAGCUACAUCGGUAUCCGUGCGCUUGCGGAUUUUUCUGUUUGCGUUUAAAAUACCCAACACCGGUCUAAGUUGAGUAGAGAAGUGAUUGAUCGGAUUUAGGAUAGAUAGCUGACUAUCAGGAGGGGAAAUCACGGUCAUCUCUCGAAUCAAGUGCUACUAGGUUCAUACCUUAAGCAUAUGCAUUAGGAUCUAGUAAAGUGCUAACCUAACUCCUUUGGGUAAAAUGUUUGUGAAAAGCUAACACACAUACACAUUGGUGGUGGACACUUGGUGGUGUUAGCACAUUUACAAAGGAGGUGGAGUUCCUAGGGUUGAGAGGGGUUUGGGUUCCUCUCUCCCUCCCGCCGAGCUGAAAAAUAAGUGUAUAUUUUCUAUUACGCCGGUGGGAAAUUUGAGAAGUACUGAGAAACACUCACCGGACGCAGUGCGUGGAGGCACUAGACACUGGCUUUAGCGUCUGGUGUGCUGUCAGUGCCUGGCUCUGCUAGGGUUGAGCACCGGAUGCAGGGUGUUCCCUGUUCAUGCGUCCAGUGUGGCCUGACUUCAGCAGGGGGUUUCUGACUAAGAGCACCAGACGCUCAGGGUGCAUCCGGUGGUGUGAGUCUGGUGUGUGAGCAUUUUGUAGACCUCUCUAUGUACGUGAACGGUGAGCACCAGACGCAUCCGAUGCUCAACGUCCGGUGAGGUCAUGAGUUUGACAAACUCUCUGUGUAAGAGUCCGCUGGUCACCAUACGCGUUCGAUGAUCACUUGGUCGCGUCCGGUGGUCCGAAGGUGACUGUUAGAGAUUGACGCAUGAGCUUCAAAGGUUGACACGUGGCUAACUUUAGAACACCAGACACAGGGGAUCGAGCGUCUGGUGGUACCCUACUGCGCGUCCGAUGCCCCUGUUUACAGCCCAGUGAGAGAGCCAAUGACUCUAUUUGUUGAGGGGGCUUAUAAAUAGAAGGUGGCUAGCUUUGGGGGCUCUCUCUUGCACAUUGAUUACUUGAGGCAUACAUGGAGCUAGAGAACACUCUCUCCACUCAUCUCAUUGCUUGAUUGCUAAUCUUAGUGAGAUUGAGUGAGAUUCAAGUUCAUUGCAUUGAGAGUUGCAUCUAGUGGCACUUGAUCCUUAAGUUUGCUGCAAAUUUCUUGUUACUCUUGGGUGUUUCCCGAUGCCCUAGACAGUUUGGAGCAGCGGAGGUGUUGAGCUCAUGAUUGGAGAUUGUUUCGAGCCUCACCAAGUGAUUUGUGAGGGGUUCUUGAGCCUUCCCCGUGGAAGAUCACAAAUUGGCUACUCUAGUGGAUUGCUCGUGGCUUGGAGGAUCCCCAUCUUGUGAGUGGAUGUGCGGCACUUGCUGAGGGUUUGGCUUUGGAUUGCCAAUUAGCUCGUGAUCCAUCAAGUGGGUGUAUCGCCACAACGAGGACUAGCUUACCGGGAAACAAGUGAACCUUGGUAAAAAAUCUUGUGGCAUCUCUUGCCGAGGAUUCUCUUAUGAUUGUGAUUGUGAUUGAUCGAUUGGUUAUAUAUAUAUAUAUAUAUAUACUCUACAACGUUGGUAUAACGAUCACUCCCCACUCCUUUACUUUCUUGUUGACCUUGCUAGUUGUUUAGCUUGUGUAGUUUAGUUCUUGUUUAGGAGUGUAGCUAGCCUUAGUUGUGCCUUGUUGUUGUGGCUUAGUGUUUAGCCUUGUACUAGACUUUAGGUGGCUUGCUUAGCUUAGUUGAGCUAGUGCUAGAAUAGCUUCGCCAUUUGUUUUACUAACCAACUUGUCUAGUUGAGUUUGUAGAAUUUUUAAAUAGACUAUUCACCCCCCUCUAGCCAUUUGGACCUUUCCGCCAUUUUAUUUUAUCCCGUUUGGCUCCUAAUGGCUCCCGAAGCCACUAGAGAAGCCCUGCCAAACGGGGCCUUAGUUCCUAAAAAUUUUGCUAAUUUUUUUCAAGAUUCCUCAUCACAUCGAAUCUUGUGGUACAUGCAUACAACAUUAAAUAUAGAUAAAAAAAUAACUAAUUGCACAGUUUGCCUGUAAUUUAUGAGACAAAUCUUUUGAGCCUAGUUAGUCUAUGAUUAGACAAUAAUUGUCAAAUACAAACUAAAGUGCUACAAUAGCCAUUUUACAAGUGCCUUACUCUAGAUCAAGUUGUUGUUUUGUUUUUUCUUUUUUCAAUCAUAUUAGGAAGUUGUUGUUUAAAGAAGAAGACUCUAAGUCUAGUAUAACUCCUCGUAUUUUCAUUACUAAGGUAAAAAUACCAGCUUAAGGAUUAUUACCCGAUAAAGAGAUGCUCUCUCGAAUAAUGACCCUAGUUAAAGUGAUGCAACAAAAUAACAGUUAGGACCUUACAAAGUUUGUCACAUUUAAUUAAUAAACAUUACCUAAAACAGUAUACUAACAAGAACUCCAUCAUGUUAUACUAGAAAUUAUGUAAACAAUAUCAUCUCUUUCUCCUUUGGCUCCUUUUAGAUCAAGUGUUUGGCCUAGCUCAUCAUCAUGGGUUAUCCCUUUGCAUCUAAAGGGGCAGGACUAAUAGCAAGAGUGAGUAUUAAGUACUGGUGUUGCCUGUUGGAGAGCUGGUUGGCCAAGCAAUUAAGGUCGUGCGCUCCCUUUCCUUUGCCCCUCUCUCAGGAAUAUAGAACCCUUGACUUCCCUUUCUUCCUCUAGUGAACAGACAAGAGAAAAACUCGAGCUCUCCUCUCCCAUCUCUCCCAAGCUUAGUGCUAAUUCUACGAGUCUUUUUAAGAGGCCUUCGUGUUUGAUUUAGUGAGUUCAUGAGCAUCUCCUCCCUCUCCUCUCCAUCUCCAUAGCUUGGUGCUCAUUUGAAGAGGAUUGAGAGAAACCCUAGGUGUAUUUGAGAUUGCAUAUUCUUGUGGCACUAGGUGGUGAUUGCAAUUGUGGAUUUCUUAUUACUCUUUGUAAUUACAGUCACUUAUAUGGUGUGGAUUUAUUGAUUGGUGAGGGGAUUUGGUGAUUGUGUCCGCCUCCAAUCAAGGUGAUAUUUGUGAGGGGUUCUUGGGAUUAUUCCCUAGCGGAGAGUCAAAAGCCACUCUAGUGGAUUGCUCGUGUCAUUGAGCUACCUCACUUGUGGGUAGGUUCUUGCGAUGCCCAUUUGUUAGGCUAGAUUUGUGAAAUACCUAUUAGCCGCCGAAUCACCAAGUGUUGGUCGACACAACAGGGACUAGCAUGCCGGCAAGCACGUGAACCUCGGGAGAAAAAUCUUAUGUUAUUUGUGAUUGGUAUUCUCCCAGUGAUUUUAUUGGCAAUCAUAUUGUAAUUGGUUCAUCCUCUACACAUCGGUAUAAUUAUUACUCACCUCUUUACUUUCUUACAAACUAGUUGUAAGUAGUUGUAGAGAGUAGUGACAGAGCCAUUGCUUGUGCCUAGAGAUCAUAAAAAUUAGAAUGGUUGGAUAGGUGGAUUGCAAGCUGGAGCAAAAUUGUUUUAUGUCUUUUUGUUAUAUUAAUUCUUUGCUCUAGUGCUUUGUAGAAUUUUUAAUAGGCUAUUCACCCCCCUCUAGCCAUAUUAGGACCUUUAACUAGUCAUUUUUCAUAUCCAUUUUCAUUAGUAGAUCAUCAUCAAAAUGUUGUAUAUUUUAGAAAAUAAGUUAAGAAAUCUAUUAUCACUCAUAAGUGAGAUAGAACCUCCUAUAGGCUCCCGUAGCUUCUGAUCCAAGACACAUGAAGUGAAAGUUGGUUUGUAUCACUUUACUCAUGUUUACCUUGACUAAUUUUUCAUCACACUUCUUUAGGUAUGACUCAUGGUCAAGAUACACUAGACUUUCCCCACUUCCAUUUAUUAUAUACAUCCACAUCUACGUACGUGCACUAAUAUAUGUGUCUGACUAUACUUCAUUGACACUUGAUUAGGAAUUUCAUCACCUAAACCUCCCCUCACUUACGAUAGAAGUAUAUAACAAUAUUCAUGGAUAUCGGACUAGGCCAUCCCAAAUGGAUUCACUUAUCGACACGGUUUUAUAUGACCCACAUAAUAAGUGCGAAGAGUGAGUCCUUAUAUAUUUAGGCCUUGUUUAAUUUUCAAAAAAAAUUUAAGAUUCUCCGUCACAUUGAAUCUUUAGACACAUGCAUGGAGCAUUAAAUAUAGAUGAAAAUAAAAACUAAUUGCACAGUUUGUCUGUAAUUUGUGAGACAAAUCUUUUAAGCCUAGUUAAUUCAUGAUUGGACAAUAAUUAUUAAAUACAAACGAAAGUGCUACAGUAGUAAAACCCAAAUUUUUUUUGAACUAAACAAACCCUCAUAGUCUCGAUCAUCCUUAAUCCAUCAUCAUAUUCCAUGAGCUCUCUUUACAACAAAUAAUUCAUUAUCAUCAAUUAACAAUUAUUCAUCAUAAUCAUCAUCAUCAUUGAUCAUUUAAUUUAAUUUAGAAAAUAGAUUUUUUUGCAAGUAUUUUGAAAAUAUGUUCGUUUUAUAAAAAUCGAUGUUUCGUCUACGUGACUUGCCUGAGCCUUAAAAUAUGACCUCAGAUCCUUCUAUUUUCUCCAUACAUCCUUCCAUUAGUUUAGCUUUCUUCUUGUAAUAAAUAUAAUAUUUACAACAUUGGUAUUUUAGUAAAAUAGAUUGCGUACCAGUGUAUACACAUAAGUCCUGUGCUUCCAGGUAUUUUUAUUAGUUAUUAAUCUUAGCUUAUGUGUGACUUAUAAGAAAAUAUAUUAGUCAUGUGUGUAUCAUUAGCCACUAACUAACUAGUAGUACUCUUCUCCCAUCUUUACGUGUGAUGAACCAGAACAUGAUACACUCCACUACUACUAGUACUAAGGGCUUGUUUAGUUCCAAAAUUUUUUACAAAAUGAGCACUGUAGCAAUUUCAUUUGUAUUUGACAAAUAUUGUCCAAUUAUAGAUUAAUUAGGCUCAAAAGAUUUGUCUCACAAAUUACAGAUAAAAUAUGCAAUUAGUAAUUUUUUAUCUAUAUUUAAUGUUUUAUGUAUUUGCCGUAAGAUUCAAUGUGAAGAAUAAUGUGAAAAAUUUUACAAAAUUUUUUGGGAACUAAACAAGGCCUAAAGUUUGAGACCCCGUACAGUAUGUACUAGCAAGUCAACAGACAACAGUACACACGCACUCUCCUAUCAGUUUCCCCCUUCGAUUGCUCUCUCUCUAUCUUUAUCUCUCUCUGUUACUCACUUCUCUGUUCUUCAGGUUGCAGCUGCUCACUGCUAAAGAUGGCAACGCUCAACUCUAACCACCUCUAUACUACUUCCUCCACUACCAUGGUACUAUCUAAUAACACCCUUGGUGUUACCGCGCAAACAACCUGCUAAAUCAUAUCAUGAGCAUGAGCAUUAUGUUUGUGUGUUAAUGCAUGUGUGAAGCUUGUAAUUAAAUUUCCUAUACAGAAAAUGCUUAAUGAAAUUGUUAAAUGAAAUCCAUCCCUUGUCAUGUUUAUAUCAAGUAGGGUUAAACUUUAAUUUUUCACAAACAAAAAUGAUAUAGAACUUAUGUGUAUCACCUUAAUAAAACUUGUAUAGUUUCCAUGCACCACACACUCACCCUCUGACUGCAUGAACAAAUGACCAUCAACAAGCAAAGCAGAUGUAUACAAAUACAUAGACAUGUUUCCUAUAGCACAUAUGCCUGAAUCAAGGAUUGAGGCCUGGUUUAGUUUCCAAAAAUUUUCAAAAUUUCUCGUUACAUCGAUUUUUUGAACGUAUACAUAGAGCAUUAAAUAUAGACGAAAACAAAAACUAAUUGCACAGUUUAUUUAUAAUUUACUUUACAAAUCUUUUGAGUCUAGUUAGUCUAUGAUUAAAUAAUAAUUGUCAAAUAUAAAUGAAAGUGCUACAGUAAUAAAGUAAAAAAAAUACGGACUAAACAAGCCCUGAGACAUCAAGAGGAAGAGCGAAGAUGUAUAGUGCUGAUAUUCUGGAUGGUUGAUUAAGAUCUGAAGACUACUGUUCAUAUAGUCUAAAAGAGCACAGGAAACCAAAAGGCUGAUAAACGCCAGCAUCAGCGUGCCCUUUAUUAUCCCUCCUCGUCCACACAUCCAGCCCCAAAUCCAAACCCCUUCUCCCUCCUCUCUUCCCUUACCCGAAGGGAAAUAAAGAUGGAAAACAAACACACACAGCAGCAACAAUAUCCAAAGGUAGCAACUGAUCACCAGCAGUCUCCAAUAGCAUAGCAACACCAAGAAGCUACGCCGACCAUGUCGACGUCCAUGGCCACCACGCCCACGACGGCAAGGGCCAUGGCGCCAGCGAGACCCCCCGCGCCGCGGCAAUGCUGCAGGUACCUCGUCCUCCCCUCCACCGGCCACCGCCGCAGCAUCGCGGCGUGGUCUGCGAAGAAGAAGAACCCGUGGCUGGACCCGUUCGACGACGGGCCCGACGAGGAGUUCGACUACCAGGGCAUGUUCUCCGGCGGGAAGCAGGAGGAGGACCCGCGGCCGCCCGAGGACCCCGCGAACCCGUACGGGUUCCUUCGGUUCCCGCAGGGCUACAACCCAGAGCUGGACAGCCUCGCCUCCAAGGUCCGCGGCGACGUGCGGCGCGCGUGCUGCGUCGUGUCGGGCGGCGUGUACGAGAACGUGCUCUUCUUCCCCGUGGUGCAGAUGCUCAAGGACCGGUACCCCGGCGUGCUGGUCGACGUGGUGGCGUCGGCCAGGGGCAAGCAGGUGUACGAGAUGUGCAAGAACGUCAGGUACGCCAACGUCUACGACCCCGACGACGACUGGCCGGAGCCCACCGAGUACACGCACAUGCUCGGCGUCCUCAAGGUACGUACGUACGUACGUGUAUAUAUAUAUAUAUACUUGCGCUAUUCAUUGCUUAAUUGCAUAUGGAACGAUUCCUCUGUUUUAUGAGCUACUACGCUGAUACCGGUGAGAAAUUAGUAGUUGGAUGAUGAGUAGAGUAAAUAAAGCUUUUGGCUGAAUCUCUCUCGCCAUGUCAUUGCAACCGGCAGAAUAGGUACUAUGAUCUGAUCGUGUCGACGAGGCUGGCCGGGCUCGGGCACGCCCUCUUCCUCUUCAUGUCGUCGGCGCGCGACAAGGUUGGCUACGUUUACCCCAACGUCAACAGCGUCGGCGCGGGCCUGUUCCUCGACGAGAUGUUCAAGCCGCCGACCAACAACCUCUCCGACGGAGGGUACCACAUGUAAAAAACCCGUUGCCCUCCAUUUGCACAACCAUUUGCUUGCAGCGCAAAGCCUACCAUGUCUAUUGCCAACGCCACGAGUCUGUCUUGGAGUAGUUUUUAAAUGA